UUGGGGUGAGUUUAGUAAAGUAGCAAAAAUAAUUUGUGUGUUCGCAUUUCACUUGUUCCAUUUUGAGAAUGUCUAGCUGUGGCAGUAACUGUGGGUGUGGAAGUAGCUGCAGCUGUGGCAGCAACUGCGGGUAUAUAAUCACUCUUUUUUUUUCUAAGAAUCACUUUUUUUGUCUAAUAUGUUUCAUUAUCUCAUAAAAAUUAACUUUUGAACUGUGUUUUUGUUCUUCAAUUUAUACGUGAAUUCUAAUCUGUUAGUGCUUUUCCGUAAACGCGCUUUUUGCUUUUGUUCUUUACCGAAUCUGUUGAUGUUUUUUUGAGUUCUGUUUUGUGCUCUGUUUCCUAAGCGAUGUUUAUUCCAAGGUUUAGUUUACCUCUGCUUCUUUGAUCUCCCCUAUAUUUUUUGUCGUAAACUUUUCUUUAUUUUUUUAUUUUUAUUGACGCUUUAUUUUAAAUUUCUCUUUAAUUUAACUAUCUAGAAUGAUUAUAUAUAUAUAUAUAUAUAUAUAUAUUUAAAUUCUUUGUUUUGAUUAAAAUUAAAAAUUAAAAAAUAUUUUUUCUCAUAUCUUUUACCUUUCAAUUCUUUAUUUAUAAUAAUAUGGUAUCAUCUCUAUAGCCUAAUUAUUAUUAGAGAAAUAAUUUUUUGGAAAUUGUACAGUGAACCUUCGUCAUUCUUUUUUAAAUUUCAUGUUAAGCAUCCUUUCAUGAAAUAAAAGAAUAUUAUUUUAAAAAAAAAAAACUAUCAUCUCUUCUUCACGAAAAAUCCAGAUAUCUUGUGGUUGAUAAGUGUCUAAACCAUGCAAUAAUUUUCCCCUCUUUUAAGCUCUGUUUUCUUUCAGAAUCGUUUCUUAUUUGAACAUUGGGAUUUGAUAAAUUAAGAGGGUAGAACUUAGCUAGUCUUGAAAACUAGGUUUUUCGUUAAGUUUAUUUUGUGCAUAAAGAGAAAAUAAAAACUUUGUAUUUUAGUUACAUUAAACUCUUCGUCAAAUUGUCAAAAAAUAUUACACUUUCCGUUUUCUAUUUUUUGUGCAUGGAUUUUCUCACAUGAUCUCACUAAAAUUGACUUUGUAUGAAAAGAGUGUCUGUUUUCUUACAUAUCUUUUAUUUUAAUUUUAUUUCCCCCACAUGAACCUAAUUGUUUGUUGAAUUUUUUUUGCCACAGUUGCAGUAAGUACUCGUUUGACAUGAGCUAUGCUGAGAAGACAAGCACAGAGAGUGUAGUUUUGGGCUUUGGAACUGUGAAGGCUGAAUUUGAAGGUGCUGAAAUGGCUGAGGAAAAUGGCUGCAAGUGUGGAGCAAACUGCAGUUGCGACCCAUGCACCUGCAAAUGAGGUGAAGAUAUAAAGCUUGAAGGAGAUAUAGCUGCAUAUGUACCAAAAGUACACACUUAUAAUAAUUACAAUAAUAAGUAUGUGUUGUGUUCAAUCAACUGGAUUUGAAGUUUCAUAAUAAAAUGGGCAUGGCUAGCCUUUGCAAGUUCAAAUGCUCUGGGAUUUCUUGUGGGUGUUAUCUAUAAGCUAUGAUCACUUUGUGUUUGUUCAAUCUUAUAUAAAUAUGUAAUUUUAAUCAUCAAUCAUUAUGCUUAUAACUGAAAUUAAUAUUACUCUUUCAUCUAUUGGAGAUCACACAUUAAAUAGAGAUUAAGAUAUUUAUUUUUUAAUAAGUAGGUGCAAAUCUUACCUUAUGAAUUGAUUUUAUGAGAUUGAGUUAGGUUUAAAGUUCACUUCUUAACAUGGUAUUAGAGCCAUUUAAAACUUAUCAUAGAUCAUUAUGAGAUGAGUGACCUAACUUUUUUUUUUCAUUGUUAUCUCAUAUGCUAGUGAUGAACUUACAAAUUUGAAAAUCAAAUGUGGAAACUUAAGAAAGGGGAAAGCAUAAAACCUAAAAAGAAGCUUUCUUCUUUCCUUUCUCAUAUGUAAUUGUCUUUUCGAUCCUAUUUAUGUUCUGGUGGUUCUGAUAGUUGUUAUGAGACACCUUAUCUUUUAUUUGGAUUUGGAUGGGUAAUUUUGUAAUUUUUAAGACAGUUGAGUAUUUUGAAUUAAUAUUAUUCUAAAUACUAAAUAGUUUAAUUUUUUAAAUGUUGUAUAUGAAUAAUAAUAAAAUUUAGUUAAUUUUUUUUUCAUUUGCAUAAAGUAUUUCAAUUAUCAUCAAAUAUAAAAAAAAAAUAUUUAAAUAUUAAAUAAUGUUUACAAUUUAAAAAUAUUAACAAUAAUAGUUAUUUUUUAGUUGAUCUUGAUUAAUGUUAUUUUUUUAUCAAAAUUUAUCAACCUUUUCUAAUUGAUAUUUACACACAAAAAUCUAUCAUAAGUAUAGUUUAAAUGAUAUCAAUUGAUAUUGUGCUCAAGCCUCAUAGUUAACCUAGUUGGGCUAGGGCUAAGUGACUUCUCGUCUGGGUGUUAUUGGGUUCACUUAGGCAAGUUAGACGAAAACAGGCCCAACGUCAUUGGAGUGAUUUCGCCUUGGCGAGAUGGAGCUCGCUUGGGCAAGAUCCUCUGCGAGCUUCGGGCUUAGGCGAGUUUGGGCGAGCUUGGGUGAGUGUUGGUGCGUUCCAAUUUUCCCUUUUUAGCUUUGUUUAUUCUCCUUUUGGCCAUUUCAUCUCCAUUCUUCCAUAAAAUCCUGAAAUUAACACAAGUUUGAGAAUAAAUUGUUUUUCUUCAAAUUAAAAUCACAAAAUAUGUAAAAAUAAAUAAAUUCAUAAAUUAGAGGUUAUUUUAUAGUUAUUUUGUCAAUUUAUAUCCAUAAGUGCUUGUAUUUUAAUAUGAAAUAUUACUGAAAUCUAAAACUUAUAUCCUUGUCAAAAACUUCUACCCUUAAAAUCUUUUGUGAAAACCUUUAUCAAUUCUUUUUGUGAAAAUUUUGAAAACCUUAUGAAAAUAUUUUAGUCAUAAAAAAUGAUUGAUAUUACACAUCAUUCUAGUGUGCAUGAGAGUCUUAAGGAUGAAGAAGGGGAACAUCUGAGGGAAAAAAUUCAAAAUACAAAAAAAAAGAGAUAACUGAGUUGAAAGACAUGUUUUCUCAAUUCAUGAAGAGUCGAGAAAAAUCUAGGAGCAACCAUGGAGAGGGAUCUAGUGGGAGAAGGGACUAUCAUGGUGACCCUUAUUCCUAAAGUGGAGAAGUGUUUAGUAGUCAUCACAAUGUUGACUACUAAGGAACCUAGGUAGACCUUCCCACGUUCUAUGACAAAAAGAAUGUUAAAGAAUAUUUAGAUUGGGAGAUGAAGGUUGAGAAACUUUUUAAAUGUCACCAAGCAAACAAAGAAAUAAAAGUGUCCAUAGCUACUUUAAGUUUUCCAUAAUAUGUCAUGUCUUGGUUGAAACAAAGGAAAUAUGAUGUUACAAUUAGAAGAAAAAUAUAGAUAUUGAAUUGGCAUGAAUUAAAGGCGUGCAUGAGAAAAAACUUUGUUCCACUUUCAUAUGAGAAAAAUAAAAAACUUAGAGAAGAAAUGAAAGAGUUGUAAGAAAAUAAAAAAUAAUUAUAGAAUGAGAAUGGGAGUUUAUAAGAAGAGAGAUGAAGUUUAGAGAAAAAGUGAAAAUUCUUAUCAACAGACAAAGAAGAGAAAGAAAGAGAGAGAAGAAAAAGAAGAAAAAUAGAUGUUAAAGAAAUCCAGAAAGGAAUAGGUGUCUCUUAUAACACCCCUUACAAGCAUAGUUGAGAAAUAAUAUUUUAAGGGAGAUUGUAAUACUUUGAACUCUUCUUUACACUUAAAUCAUUAUGCUAACUCUUCUUCCCAAAAAUCUCAAAAACAUCAUUUUAUCUUGUUGUUACAUGGCACAAAGCAAUGACAAAAACAAAGUGAAGAAAUCAAUGUUUCUAAAACAAUGACCCAUAUUUUCCUUUAAAACUUUUGCAAAAAUAAUAAAGGGCAUUGUUUCAUUGCAUUUUCUUUUAAAAACAACUUUCUUAGUUUUCUUUUAAUAAAAAAAAUUAUUUAAAUUUUGUUAUUUUUUCUACAGAGGGAUCUUUGAUCCCGGAGGAAAAUAGAAAAAAGUAAAGAAAUGUGGCAAUCCAUGAGCAACAUUUAAAUCUAAGGACAUAGAAGCUUCAAGGAAGAAGACUCUACAUUUGAAGACUAGAACACUAGGAUUUUCUUCUUUCUUCUUAGUCUUGUACAAAUUAUAUAGGUAUAUUUUCUUCUUUGUAUUUUCCAAGAUUUUGUAGAGACAUGGAUUUCCUUUCGGUCCAAAACCUCAAUUUGGGCUUGAAAAUUCAGCCAAAAACCCUAGAGAGCAUUGUCAAAUUUGGCCAAGACAUGAAGGAGAAGAAGCUUGGAGCAUGAAAGUCCCACACUAGAAAUUCAUUUGCCACGUAAAAAAAGUUGGCAAUCACUCAUUCCAAUAGUUUCUUUACUACAAGUACCCAGACGGUUUAAAGUUUGAACUAGGGACGAAAAUCAAUUUCACGUUAUACUACAAUAUGAAAAACAUAUUUAACCCUUUAAUUAAUUAAUUAAUUUUAUUUUUUAUUAUUUGAAAUAAUUUGUUAAAUUUUGUAUUUUAUUUAAAAAAUAUUUUGCAAAAUAAUGGUAUAAACAAUUUUGUUAACUUUUUAUAUUUUUAUAGUUUUAUAUUUUAUAAAUAAAAAAUUAUAACUUAAUAAAUAAAUUAUUGAUUAAAUGAAAAAUGAAAGAAAUUUUAUAGAACCCAUUAUUUAAUAAUCCAAAGAAAGAUUCUUGAUUGGAGAUACAUAGUUUUCAUAGAACUACAUAUAUUGGAAAGUGUAAAAGUGAAUGAUAUCGAUUAUAAUGUGACACUCGUAUAUGUUCUCCAUGAUGGAUGUCCUCAAGACCACUUUCUCUUUGUUUUCAAAGCACAAAUUUUCACUUCUUCUCUACUUUCUUAUUUGGUUUCUUUUGGCAUCCAUAGAUAUGUAUGUUAAAGUUGUUGAUACCAUGUUUGUUACCUUUGCAUUUAUACCUUGGCCACGAUAGCUACAUAUAGCAUAAAUCCCUACCAUUUCAAAAUGAACUGAAGCACCAUAAUCAAAGUCAAGUAGGUUUUCUUUUGUUAGCAUUUGCAGCUACCUAAUCACAAUUUUAGGGGUGUCAACUUGUGCGUGCUAGAGGUUAAUUUGGUUCACUCCCAAAUCUAUGAACUCCUCAUGGUGGGUUGGAGCACUACUCUUGCUCAACCAUUUGCACUCUAGUUUACAAUCAAAUUACAUAAAGAAAAAUUGAGGCAUAAGUUUUAAAAGAAAUUCAUAUUUAUAAGGUAUAACAUCCAAAUAAAUCACAUUUGUUAAUUGUUGGAUUGUACUAUUGUUCAAAGAAAUCACAUUUGUUAAAUGAAGGAGUUCACAUCUUUUAAAUACAAGGACAAACUUUUAUCAUACUUUUUUCUUAUAGUAUAUAGUUUUGUCAUUAUCUAUGAUGGAUCUUUCGAGGGGGUUUAUUACUUACUCUCUUUUUACCAUCAUAUAAGUGCCUAAAACAUUCAUUAGCAAGAUUUUUAUAGUCACCAAAACGAAUUAUUGGCUCUGAUACCAUUAAUGAGUAUUUCGAAAGGGAUUCACAUGAAAGAUUCAACAACAAUGACACAUGAGUCAAAUCAAUAUAAGGGAUGUUGCUUAUGGUGAUAUUUUUAAAGAAAGUCAAGGUGAAUAUAUUGGCAAUCAAUUUCUAUGAUAAGCUUAUUGUGUUAUUUUAGCUAUUGAGAUCUCCUAGGCUUAUGGUUAUAGGUGUGUUUGAUUAGAAUAUGAUUCCUCCUUAGUAUUUCAAGUUUUGUCUUCCCCUCAAUUUUCUCCUUAAGCUCUUAGAGGUAGAUGGAGGAAAUGCAUUAAAUGUUGAGAUGAUAUGGAGUUUAAGAUAUCUCAAAUUUAUCGUGAAGAUAAUCACUAUGCUCAUAGACUAGCUAUUUUGUAAUAGAUAUUAAUUCCCAAUUACCAUUUUGUUUAAUUCUAUUUAUGAGUGUCUUUUGUAUAUUUCUCAACAUGAGUUUGAUUUGGUUUUCCCAUAUUUUUGUUCUUGUUUUCCUUUUUAUAUAUAGUUUUUCAUGUAAUGACAUAUAAUUGUUUAACUUUGGAGACGUGAAAAGGUUCAUAGUAAUACCUAGCGAGUUUUCUUAAAAAAAAUAGGAGGAAACAAACUUUAGCUAAUAUAAGUUCCCAAAAAAAACAAAUGUUUUUAUUUGUGCAUGAACUGCAUUGAAGAGGAAUACAUAAACUAAUUUUGCAAAUGAAGGAAUUUAUUUCAUUUUUCUACUAGUUUUAAUCUUCCUUGGGUAUUCAUGAAAAAUUAUCUAAACGAAUUCUAUGCGAUUUAUUAGUGUUAAUUAUAUUAAGUUAGCUCAUACAACAAGAUGUUUAGUCAUAAAAAAAAGUUGUUGGUUUACAUUAUCAUAAACGCAAUCUAAUCUUAACAAACAUUUUUCUUAAACUAAAUUUUAUGAUUACUUAUACCAUUUUCACUUAAUUUAAUGCAAUCACAAGAAAAGAUAUUAGCAAACACAAGUUAGGGUGAUACAUUAAUCAUCAAUAAGUGUCUCUUUGAUCUCACACAAAGGUACUAAAAAAAUGCAAAAUCAAUCAAUAUUAUAUACACUAGAAAAUGAACAAAUCUACAAAAGCAAAAUGUAUCUUUUCUAAUUGUGUCUCCUGAAUAAUGCAAAAGGUAUAAAUGAAAGAGCACUGAAGUUUGUUCAUGAGAGCCAGAAACACUACUAUGGACAGAUGAACAUCUCCUUCCAAUGAUCAUCACUUUAGUAAAAACUCAACUGCAAAGUUGAGUACAUAGUUGUUGGAUCUUGGAACUGGUUAGAUCUUGCAUGAAGUAUGUACUGGAUUUACCAUUGCUUGAGCAUGUUACGUUCAGCUGGUUACCAAGCUGAUUUGACUGCAUUAGUGGUAUUUCAACACCAUUAAUAUCAGACAUUAAGAACAAAAAACCUUUUUAAACGGUUAACAUUGAGUACAAAGCAUCUUUGGACAUUGAUAAUAAAAAUGUAGCAUGUCAUGAAAACAUUGAAGUAAUGAUGUUUUUAGCCCUACAAAUGGGUACUUUCACUUUUAAUUCCUAAAAAAUAAAUCAUCUAUUUUUUGUCCAGUUUAUAGAAAAGUGUCAAAUGUGGUCUCUAUUUCCAUGAACAAACAAGGGACCAAAAUGAAACAACUUACUCUGAAGAUCAAGGACCACAUGUAACACAUUGUUAUAAAUGAGAGACUAAAAGAAUACAAUUUUGUAUAACAAACAUAUGCCCUGUUCGUGAACUAAAAACAUUUUUAAUCUGAGAACAUGUGUUCACUCACCAAUAUGAUGUUUUCUUUGCAGAUCGCUAAAUAGUUUAGAGAUUUUGUACAAGAAUAGUACAAUAAUACAUGAAAAAGAUGUUACAGAUAAAUAACCCUAUCAUUUGUCGGUGAAAAUAUGUAAUUUCACAGGAUCUGAUAUUAUUCAUGAGAAUAGGCUUUCAUGUAAAAUGCUUACCACACAAUAUGAUGGUUCUGUAUGGCAGCUCCAUUUUGAAGUUGGAACACAAGACAGAUAAUGGCACCAGGAACAGUGAUCAUUUGCAUCAACACCACGGAGAAGUGCGACAAGCCCAACAGCAAGCCUAACAUACAAAAAGUUAACAUGGACAGAAAAAAUGGUCUAUAUGAAAUAUGACUACUAGGAAAACACAAGAAUACAAAUAAAAGGAAAACCACAAGAAAACAAAUAAAAUGACUGAAGAUUUGGUUCCAUAAAAAUCUAUGAUCAAAGAUUCCUAGACCAUCUAAAGACACUAGACCCUCUGGGGGUUAGAGUGUGUUAGGAUAGGCCCAGCUGUUCUAUCAGAGUGUGUUAGGAUAGGCCCAACUGUUCUAUCAGAGUGUUUGGUGGUACCAGACUGUUUGUCUUUACCAGAGCUACUAGUCAGACCGUCUGUGGCAUCAGUUUGACUUGCAGCAUCAAUUAGCAUUUCCAAUUCCUAACUGAAUCACUAUGCACGUGACUUUGUAAUUAUUUGGUACGUCCUUUUUGAAAGUUAGUUAGAGAACUUUAACUGUAUAAAUAGGACCUUAUAAUGCAUAGUUAUCUUUAACUUAGAGUUGAGAGUUCACGAGUGAGAUAGACUUCGUGUUGUAAUCUCAUAUUCUUUCUUAGUGAAUUUCGUGUUUGUGGACGUAGAUUGAGUUUCAGUUGAACCACGUAAAUUUUUGUGAUUUUUCAUUUACUUUUCCUAUUUACCUACUAUAUGUUCCUGUGGUUUCUUUUGUUAUCGUCUAACAUUUGUGACUAGUAAACGAUCCAGUGAAUUUGUGUCUAUUUUUCUUACAAACUGGUGUGAUGAGCAUGGAGAGAAGGAAACUCAAUCAUCAUGACUUCCACAAAGUAUGAGGUUGAAAAAUUCACUGCCUUGAAUGAUUUUGGGUUAUGACGAUUGAAGAUGCAUGCUUUUCUGAUUCAACAGGGCCUCCUUGAAGCUUUGGAAGAAGAAUCCAAGCUUCACAGAACCAUGGCUGAGAAGGACAGGACUGCGCUAUUGGAGAAGGCUCAUAGUGCAAUUGUUUUCAGUCUUGAUGACAAGGUGUUAAGGCAAGUUUCGAAGGAGAAGACUACAGCAGGGCUAUGGAAGAAGUUGGAAAGCUUGUAUAUGAAGAAGUCCCUGGUGAACUACUUGAAGUAGGCAUUGUACUCGUAUAAGAAGAGUAUUGAUAAGGUAGUCAAUUAACAACUACAGGAAUUUAAUAAAUUGAUUCUUGGAUCUUGAAAUUAUUGAUGUCCAAAUUGAUGAUGAAGAUCAAGUGUUAUCAUUUCAAAGAGACCUUGUUGUAUAUAAGAGAAACUUUCUCUCGAGGAGGUUCAAGUUGCCUUGAACUCGAAAGAGUUGAAUGAAAAGUUUGACAUUGAGGCAUCAAAUACUGGAGAUGGCCUGGUAACAAGGGAGGAGAUUGUUUAACCAUGAUAACGGAGGAGGAGUUAGAUGGAGGUUGAAGUCCAAAGCUCGUGAUGGAAAGGUAGUAAACGUCUACCGGUGUUACCACUAUAAGAAGGAAGGUCACACAAGAAAAUAUUUUCCUCAGUCAAAAGGUUGGAAAUCCUUCUGGUAGACGGGUAUGAUGGACCAUCUACGUAUGGUGAAGCAACUCUAGUGUUGAUGAUUGUGAAUGGAUCAUGGAUGCUGGCUAUUCAUUUCACAUGACACCUAAUCGUCUAUGGUUCCAACAGUUUGCAAAACUUGAAGGAGGGUAUAUUCUCCUUAGUGAUAGCAGCGGCUAUAAGAUAACUAGCAUUGGAACAAUUAAGUUUUGUCUCCAUGAUGGAACUGAGAAGAUGCUUGAAGAAGUUAGGUAUGUGCCUAGCUUGAAACGAAAUUUAAUAUCCCUUGGUGAACUUGAAAAGAAGGGCUAUGUAUUAAAGGUGAAAGGGGGUGUUGAAGGUGAUGAGGAGGUCAUGGUAGUCAUGAAAGGUGUGAGGAAGAAUGCCUUGUAUAUGCCUUGGAAGGUGUUGUAAUCUCUAGGUCAACCUCUAUUGAUGAGAAGACCAUCUACUCUAAGACAGAUUUAUGACACAAAAGGUUAGGUCACGUAAGCGAGAAGGGCUUCAUGGAGUUGGACAAGGCUUGUUAAAAGCCUAUAAAAUUUGUUUCAACAUGGGUCAGCAGAUGACAAAGGGGACUCUUGAUUACAUUCAUGCUGAUCUAUGGGAUCCAUCUCCUACUCCAUUACACUCUAGUACUAGAUACCUCUUGCCGAUUAUUGAUGAUUAUUUGAGGCACCGAACGGUUGCAGGAACUCCUCAACAUAUUAAGUGUAUCAUUAGCAAAGACAUUGUCUUCAAUGAAACUGAAACGGCAAGACAAAAGUUUUUUAAUGUAUGCUUGUUGAUAAUAGUGAUGCUGAGCUGAAAAGAAGCUUUGUGGCCUAAGGGUCUUAGCCAAGGAGCUGAAGGUGCAGGGUCAGGUUGUCACAGUCUACUGUGACAAUAGUAGUGCUAUACAAUUUUCAAAGAACUAAUUUUAUCAUGAGAGAAUGAAUCAUAUUGACGUGAAGCUACAAUUUGAGAAAGGAGAUUGCAGAGCAUUUGUAAGGUGGCAAAAGUUUCAACGAAUCAUAAUCCCUCUUAUAUGAUCAUAAAAGGUUUUGUCUGCCAGCAAGUUCUUUCAUUACCUGGAUCUAAUCCAGUUGAUAGGUGAUUAAGCCUAUAAUGGGCUUAGAGGUAGUGAGUGUUUUAUCACUCAAAAUAUGUGUUGAAUCAAAGUGGAGAUUUAUAAAGAUUUGAUUCAGUAAAAAUUUAUGUUCAAAGGUUCAGGUUCCUAGACCGUCUAGAGGCACUAGAACGUCUUGGGGUUAGAGCAUCUAGUGGUACAAGACCGUCUUGACCAGAGCUUCUGGCCAAAUCGUCUGCUACAUCAAUUUGACUUCCAACGUCAGUUGGCGUUUCCAACUCCUAACUGAAUCAUUGUGCAUGUGACUUUGCAACUCUUUGGCACAUCCUUUUUUGGAAGUUAGUUAGACAGUUUUAAAUGUAUAAAUAGGACCUUGUAAUGAACAGUUUAUCUUUAACUUAAAUUUGAGAGUUCACUAGAGAGAGGCUUUGUGUUGUAAUCUCAGAUUCUUUCUUAAUGAAUUUUCUGUCGUUGACUGUUUCAUCUAACCAUGUAAAUUCCUCUGUGUGAUUCUUCGUUUACUUUUCUUGUUUACCUUCUGUCUAUUCUUGUGGUUUCUUUCGUUAUCGUCCGGUAUUUGUGACUAGUAGACGGUCCAGUGAAUUUGUGUCUAUUUUCCUUACAAUGACAAUGCAGACAAAAGUGGCAUUGCAAUCACUCACAAAAGUGAAUCUCAUAUUUACAAUAAUGAAGAAUUGAUCCAUUUCUACCUCAAUCUUGGGUAGCUAGGCUUUGUGAAGAAACACAAAACAAAAUAUUUCAAGAAAUCCUAACUGUUACAUUGGUUUGAUCCAACAUGAACUAGCUUUUUAGAUCUUCUUAGUAGUGAUAAAGACGCAGUAGCUAGACUUGCUCUAGCGUGACUUUCAGAAGCACUAAAACAAAAACAUGCAUGUUGAGACAACUACAAGUUACUACACCUUAGCAUUUUUUUCCUGGUUCAUUUACUAUGGUACUCAGAACUGACACUAUUUCUACUUCAGUUCAGAAAAGAGAAUUCCUACCGUAUUUAAAAUUACUUAAGUUUCAAAGCAAUCAAGUUACUAUAGCAAUUAACAACUAAAAGAGCUUGCAUCCAAUCUAGAGUGUAGAGUUCCAUCGAUGACAUAUCCUGUCUACAUGCUAUAAUCUGCUUGUAACUUUAAGGGCAAGGUCAAAGCUUCUUUUCAAUAUUUAUUAUUUAAGACAUAUCUCUAAUUAUAUUUGGUCACAUUUUAUCUUCUAUGUCACUCUAGUUCUGUAAGCAGUAGAAUUGGGAGAUUCCUACCUAGUGCACUCCUGAAAAGGUCGUUAGGGAAAUUCUAAUGUCAUUCAAGCCAGUAAAACAUUACGAUAAAUUUUUCAAGAAGCAUUAAAUUGUAACAUUAUUUUCAUGGGUUAACCUUAGGGAACCUUCUCAAAUUUAUAUAUAUUUAUUCAUGGGCAAAAUUAGCAUAUCAUAUACUGGUAUUUUCAAUAGGACCAAAACUUUCCAUUGAUUUAUACUACUCUUGUACUAUACUCCCUAUUGAACAUCAGAGAAUUAAACCACCAUUUGCCAGAGUUUACUCCACUAUUUACAUGAAAAUUCAAUAGAAGAAUAGUCACUGAUAAAAAAUCAUAAAUAUGAUAUUUUAUUGCUAUCUACCAUUUGUUCACUAUUAAAACAUAUAAGUACAAAUUCCAAUCAACAAUAACAAUAGAGUGAGUAUUACAUAGACCAGCUUUGCACGACAUAAAAAGAACUAUCUAUCAAUGUUUGUUUCCUGUUAGGAUCUUUUCUGCAGAACUUUAAUAUUGGUUUCGUUACCAAAAACCUAUGAUCUAGUGUCUGUGUCUAUACUAUGAGCCUUAAUUUCAGAUUAUUCAUUCAUUAGUGCCACUUGGAUUGGAAUCACAUUAUUUAGUUCUCUUUAGUCCUCAGAGAUUCAAGUAGAAAUUGCAGUUAGUCGUUCUAAAAUUUCAUAUAACUACUAUCAUAUUUUUUAAAGAAUCUUCCUUUUUAAACCAGCCAUUUUUCUUUGUUUGUAUUACUUAAUAUCUGCUAUGAACUAUGAAUAUAUGAACAAUUAUCUAACUAAUAUUCUCAAGAAGAAUUAUUUUAAAAAUAAUUGUCAAAUUAAUUAGAAUCAUGAAACUGAUUUUUAAUAUACAGUAAAUAUGUAAGAGCAGAUUUUGAUGGGUUUGAUCCGUUUUUAGCUUCUGCCUAAAGCAUACAACUUGGUUUCUCAUGGUACAUGUAUUUUUCUUUUAGUAUACUAGAAACUGAAUCCAAACCUCUUACUACCUGCGGUAAACCAAGACUGCAUCUACCCCAAUUACUUGAGGAAAGUCCAGGUUUCAUGUUAUAUGUCAGCAGGGUUAAUUAUGUUAGAGUCUCUCCUUGCAUCAUACACUACAAAGAGCAACAUGAUCUCGAAAAAUUGACACUUCAAAAAAAUGCUUACCCAACAACAAGAAUGACGAGAGAGAAGACCCAUAAGAAGCACUGAUAUUUUUUGAAUUUAGGCUUAGCUCGUCCAGGAGAAUAAUUUAGGGGAGCAUAUCGUUGGUUAACCCAUCCGAACUGGGGACGUAUCAGAAACACAAAUCCGAGAAGAAAUCCUGUAAGAAAGCCUCCAAUAUGAGCAAAAUUGUCCACAUGUGGGAGAAUUCCCACUGCUAGAUUGAUAACAAUGAUUAUCACAAGGGUGAGGAGUGCUGCUAGCUUCACAUGAAAAGAAAAUCAUGAUUUUCAGUAGGUUGCUUUUAAGAUGCUCUUUGCUUGUGAAACACUUAACAGUUCCAAAUGAGAAAUUUAAUAUGCACCUUGUUCUCAUAUAUAGUCCAGUUAGUAAUCAGUUCUGAAAGCAUGCCUCCCAGCAAGCCGAAAAGUGCACCAGAAGCACCCACAGAAAUGUUUGACUGAAUGAAAAGAGCAGAAAGCAAACUGCCCCCAAAUCCAGAUAUGACAAACAGCAGUCCAAUAAGCACUGUUGUAUAAGCAUGGAAGAAUCAGUUAUGAAUUUAGAGCUAAACCAGGCAAACAAUAACAUGACACAAGAAAAUCAUACAUCUUAGUUGAGCAACUAAAGUCUAAAAGAUAACUUUUAGAGAAAUCAAGUCUAAAACAAAAGUCUGAGAUAUUUGCAGGACCAAAAAUAUAUAUGUGAUCCUAUGUGUCCUCUAGUAGGUGAUAACUACAAACCACGUAAAAAAGAAACAAGCCUUAAUCUUCAAUAUUUUACAUCAUCACACAUACGUACCAAACCCAAAUUCUUGCUCUAGCCGAAUUCCAAUUACUAGAAUACCCAACAUAUUUGCCAACAGAUGGAAAACCCCAGCAUGCAGCCACAUACAAGAGAUAAGGCGCCACCCCUGGUGUCUAUGAACCACUCUGCUCACAUCAAGAGCCCCCAUCUUCUGUAACCUGAACAAUAAUCAAAUCACGUAUCUUCAAUGCCAGUAACAGUCAAAUUCAUAAUCCAGAUUUCUCAUCCGUUAAUGAAAACCACUCAUAAAUAAAUCCCAGUACUAUUUCAACAUCAUCACCACCAACAUUAUGUGAUACUAAAUUCAAAUAAUACAUAAUCAUAAACACUUAAUAGUCAAAGCAAUUAAAACUUGUUGAUAUCUCAAGAUACUACUUAAAAGUAUCUAAGUCAUCCAACAACAUGCAUCAUCCACAAUUUACAAUCUGUGAUCUAUAACAAUUACAAUGUGAUAUUCUAUUUUGGUUUUUGUUUCUUAUUCAACACUUUUAUUCUUAAUUUUUAUUAAGUAACUGGCAUGUUUAUCUCCAUUUCAUUUUCUUUUCAACUUCCUCACUCUCUUUUCCUAAUUCUCCUUCAUUCUCCUAUGCUUUGUCCCUCUUUCAUUUUCUUCUGUUAUUUUAAAAAAGAGGAAUCUUAGGAACAUUUUUUUCUAACACUCUUUCAAAGACUUUAUUUUUAUCAUGAAAAAUUAUUCAAAACGAAAGAGAGUAUUAGAGAGAGUAACCUUUCUCCAUUUCUCAGUCUUAAUAAUCACAGUGAAACUUCAACAAUAACUUUAAAACUAGAACUGUAUUGAACACAUAAUCUCAAAGUAAACUAAAAGAAAGAAAAAAAGUACUGAAAUAUUCAAAUACAAUAAUAACAGUAACAACAGUACAAUUAAAUGUCUUAAAGGAAAGUCCCCACUUCCCCCAACAGCAUUUACAACCACAACAUCAAGGUUUCCAUUGAACCGCAAUUGCAGCCAGAUUUGUCCACCUAUUAUCAAGGAUCAUAACAAUUCCGGUCCCUUUUUAUCCAAAACUUUUUGCAAUAUCAAAGAUCACUAUUUCAAACGUUGGUACAAUUACCCAUAACUGAAUAACACUUUAAAAACAAUUAGUUUUAGAACCCAUUUUAGUAAAAAGAAAAAAAAAACAAAUUUUUACCCAAAAUAUGCUCACGAAAACUCGUUAAACCCAGACAGAGUAUCACCAACGCAAAAUAGUCUCAUUGCACGACCAAAAAACCAAGGUGGUGUCAACAAUAACAUACAAGGCUGCAGUUGAGUUGAUUGAACCGUGUGUGAAUUGUAGUUCAAAAAUUUAACUGUGCCCAAUUCGUAUGAAUGACAAGAAUAAUACAAAAAGUGACUCACGUCAAUGAAGAAGGACCCAAGAGGGGGUUUUCCUUGAAGGGCUGGAAGGAGAAGCGACCCAAGAAGGAGGCAAUGCAGGAGACAGAGUUGUGGGGGCAGUUGUUGACAUACAUAGUGAUCACAAACAAAACUAUGUUAGCAACAACAAAGAGGGGUAUCAACCAAGAGAACCACUUGCGGUAAUGCUUCACUUCCUCUCUGGGGUACUGAACCGGGGAGAGAGUUUGCACGGCCACAGGGUGCACCAUGUUGGUGUUGCUUCCCUUGGGGUUGACCCUGAGGUGGAUCUCCAAGGGGCGUGGUUCUCCGGGCAUGAAUGUGGGUUGAUCUGGUAAGAGUUUGGGAGUGGAAUGGAUGGAGUCAAAGGAAGGUGAUGUGAGGAUUUUAAGAAGGGAUAAUGAGGUUUAGCUCAACCACUUCGGGUGGACUUUUGAAACAUUAUUUGUAUUUGUUUAUCUAACCUUUUGUUUUCGUUGAACAUGGAAAUCUGGUUUUAUACUCUCUCAAUGAAUUUUGGGAAACGGGGAUAACGUCCUAUAGAAAGGAAGUUCAGAUUUUCAGCAAAGAAAAAAACAAAUAGUUUUUUAUUUUAGAUAGGAUAGGUUUUUUAGAUUUUACUCUUGUUUACAUGUAAAUGACUCUUUAGAAUAGGGAUUCAAUUGAGAGUCGAUUACUCGAUGGGUCCAUAGUCCGCUACUAAAAAUGUAAAGAUGAAUUUAUUAACUUAGUCUAUUAGACUUGUUUAGGUCUGUCAUGCAUAAUUCGCAAUUUGUAUGGAUCAAUAGCAGGACGAGCGGGUUGAUCCGCUGACCCGUAUAAAUAAAAAAUUAUAUUUUAUUUUUUUUGCAAAAAAAAAUAUCUCAUGCACUCAUUAUUGCGGUGUAGUUUUUAUUUUAUUUUAUUUUAAACAAAAUUGGAUUUAAUAUACUACAAAUUGGAAUGUGUUAUUUUAAUCAUCUAAAUGAGUUAAUAUUAAGAGUGAGAGUGAGUAGGUCUAGUUUUAAGUAAAGUCUUAUAAUUAAAAUUUAUUAAUAAAAAAUAAUAUAAAGAAGAGAUUUCAAUAGCAUACUCUUUAACAAAUUAGUAAUCUUCAUUAAAAUAUUUUGUAGCAAAAUUUUGAUAAGAUACUCUGAUACAUUUACAUACAUAUAGAGGAAAAAUAGAUACCAAACAAAACUUUAAUUAUUUUUAAUCAAGCCUUCUAACAACCUCAUACCAAAAUUCAUAUUUUAUCUUAAUUGAAUGAAUUGAAACAUGGAUAAAAUUUUAAUUUUUCUACCGAAAAACUUGGUUCUUUUAUAAUUAAUUUAUUGUGAUAUUAUUCUAAAGAUAAAAGAUAUGGUUGUUAUUAUUUAAUCUGUUGUGAUAUUAUUCUAAAGAUAAAAGAUAUGAUUCUAAAGAUAUUAUUUAAUCUGUUGUGAUAUUAUUAUAAAGAUAGAAGAUAUGAUUGUUAUUAUUUAAAUUUAUUGUAAUAUUAUUCUGAGAAAAAACUCUAUAAAUAGAGGAUGACCCUCAACAAGAAAGGGGAGGUAUUAUUCUCUGCAAUACAUACUACACCAUGAGUUCCCAUCAUCUCAUUGUGAUCCCCAGACAUUCAAAAGUUGUGGUUACAAGGGAAUCAUCUUGGAGACCACCUCCAAGCUCCAGACCUCAAGUUUGGCAAGAACAAUACCUUUAUUGUGGUUCUUAUUUUCUAAGGCAGGUAAGUGAGACACCACAAGGAAUGGAGAAAACAAUGUAGAAGAAAAAGAAAAAGAAUACGAAGAAGAAUGACCUCAAUUAGGUGAUAAAAACAUGCAAAAUGUUUUCUUUGUCGAGUUAAUAUGGUCAUCUGUUUUAUAUUUUUUUUAAGAUUAAGGUUUCCUUGAGGAGUGUAUGUUUUUAGUUUAAUGUCAUUCUCUCUAACAUGUUGGAGUGUCAGAGAAAUAUAGGAAAAAUUUAUGAUCUUUGUUAGGGUUAAGAAUUACCAUGUGACAAUAAUCAACAAGUAUAAUGAAAGAAAGAUGUACAACAAAAAUAAUAAGAAAAUGGAAGAAAAUACCUUUGUUUCAAGGUCAAUGUACCCCUUACCUGAUAGACCCGAGGCGUAGUUUAUUUUGAUUUUUGAGGUUUAAAUUCUUCUACCUGAAGAAGUUGCCUAAACUUUUGAUCUUUGUCUUUUAUUACAAACAAGUAUGCACCAGGUUUAUUUCUAAAGGAGUUUUUAACUAAGUGUGGUUCAACUUCAAAUCGAAUAUUCUCUUCAUUUAACUCCUUACAAAAGGUUUCUAAGGAAACAAAUUGAAUUUCAAUGUCUGAGUUAGCUCAGGUUAGCUCCAGACAAAGAAUUAUGUUUGAGUUCUUUUUCUAGAUCGGUAGGAAGUGUUGGGUUUUGUGGAUGGUCCCCAUCAUUGGGUCAUGAAAUUCGUGGCAUGCUUUUCUGUGUUGUUGAUUCAAUUGUUUAAUUCUUUUUCUUGAAUCAAUAUUAUUUAGGAUUUCUCUUUUGAAUAUACUGAUCUAUCUCAUUUUAAAUUUCAAUUAAAUUGUUGUCUUGAAUACUUAGCUUUAAUUUUUUAAUCCUUGUCUAGAAUUCAUGUUUCGUCUUACAUGUCUUAAAAAUUCCAUAGAAUUAACCCUUAUUUUUACACAUUGUAUGUCAUGUUCAAAGUCUUUUGAAUCCAUAAUUGUUAUCAAUUCAUGAGUUGUGCUUAGUUUACAAAUUGUUUGAUAAGAUGUUUUAGUCAAUUUUUGCGUGUUAAACCUUUGGUGUCUUUUCAUUUUGAGUCUUCGAGUUCUUGACUUGCUAAUAGACCAAUAGUGAUCCUCAUAAUCCAUUAAUUCCAUUAUGUCUUGGAGUUUUGUUUCAUUUCAUUGGAUUCUUUAGGUUUUUUCUUCGUGACAGGAUUCAGUGAAUUUGUUCUGGAUUGGAAAAAUUAUUGUGAAAUAAAUACACAUCCAAAUUACAUGAAAUUUUAGAUAUGAGAACUUCUAUGUGUUAGUCAUCUUGUGUUAAAAAUGCACAUCCAAAAACGAAGUAGAAAAUAUAUGAUAAAUCAUAAAAUUUUGGAUGUUCAUUGUUGACAAAUUUUGAGCAAAGCUCAGCAUUUCUCUCGAUUUUUAAUAUGUUUCAAUUAGCUCGAUGCAUCUUUUUUAUAUAAAAUAUUUACGACUGUAUAUUUUACUUCUUAUUGGAUGAGGAAGAUUUUGUAUUACUUCAAUAUCUAUUUUAUCAUAGGUCGAAAGAAGGUAUUCGAUCCUAGACUUGAAUUUAUCAAGUUUUUGCCAAUAUAGAGGAAAAGUGUUCUCUGAGAGUCUUUUAACGAGAAUUUUAUCUUGAAAAACUUAUUUUUUUUAAAUUCUUAAACCCUAAACCAAUUCAACCUUAUACCCAUAUUUCAAGUGGUAGAGGUAGAAGUACAUGAAUUUUGUUGAUAGUUGGGGUUAUUGAGAGGUAAUGACAAAAUAUUUGGAAAGAUUUUUAAAAGUAUCAACUAUUAGGGUGAAGUUGGUUAGGGUCAUAUUCAUGGUCGGUAGCAUCCUACUUUAAAAAGGGGAUAAAGUGAAUAAGACAUCAAAUUGUUUGAAAAAAAAACUCUUAUACAAAGGUAAAGUCUAAGUUAUUUUGUGAUGAUUUCACGAAGAUCCUAUUAGAGUUAUUUCACAUCUCUAUCGAAAUGAACUCAACCUAAGCUUCAGAACACAUGUUAAAGGAGGAGACAAACUCCUCAACAAAUUCCCUAUUUAUAUACUAGGAAGGAUAGGUUGCAACUUCCCCAAGUGCCAAGGGUCGACAAUCGGAGGAAAUUAAUCUUUCCUUUUCCUCUUGGCUACGCUUGGAUAUGCCAUAUGCAACACUUAUUGAGAGGGAGCCUUACAUUUUCCCUUAGAGGCAACAAUGGCCUUGUUAGCCACCUUUGCAGUGAAAACCACUGUAGUAGCAACAGUGGGGGGGUGGAGAAGAAAUUUUCACUAUAUCCCCUUCAUAAAACACGACUCGAGGAUGAUUCUUCUCCAAUGGCAACAACCUCCCUACUUACCAACGGGCAGUUUUGAUUAGAGGAGUCAAAAAGUGAAGAAGAGGAAGUCAUUGGUGUACCUAGAAGGAGAAGAUGAAAGGCGAAAUGGAAACACAAAAUAUAAGAAAAUGCUCACACGAAUAUUCUAAUGGACACACAAAAAAGAAUGAAGGAUUUUAAAUUGUGACUAUGGAAGGUGGGAAGUUUAAAACACUACACUUUUGAGGGAGAAACGAAGGGAUUGCCAAGCAUCGCGUCCUAGAACAACGUGGCACGAAAAUGAAACGCCAAUCACCAAAGCGACUUAACAUCUUGAAGAAGUAAAAAUCCAUCACUAAUGUUGAACACCCCUCAUUAAUACACAUUGACAAUCACAUUGUAUGAAAACAAGUCAUGAUGACUACAAAAGUCAAAUAAUAAGCUCGACCCCAUGAAAGGUCACAAGCAUCGACCCCAAAAGAUGGAUGUGAAAAGACAACCUUAGAACUAAUCACUCACAUCGAUACUCGACAAACACUAAAAACUUGUUCAUCAAACGAAUUGGUCCAUUCACACCUCAUUUAUGGAUUUUAAGCUUGGAGAACUUAUGUACUACCACCUCUUAUAUAUUUUGAGAUAAUAUAUACAAUAUUAUUUACAAUUCAAACAUCUCAUAUAUUCAUAUGUAUAUAUUAAUAAAUUCGAUUAUAACUUGCUAAGUACUUACACUUACACAUGCGUACAUACAUACGCAUGCACAUGCAUGCACACAUACACACUCUCACACACGCAUGUACACACCCGCACAUCCAUGCACACCCAUACACAUGCUUAUACACACAUACACACCAACAUACCCAUGCAAACCCACACGCACACAAACACACACUCGAACAUCACAAAUACACACUCUCACACUCACACCCACACAAACAUCCACACAAACAUGCAUGCAGAGACACACAUACACCCAACAUUAAAGUAUGAAUCUUAUAAAUUUUAUUAAAAUAUUAAUUAAUAUGUAUGGGAUGAACUAAGAUGACUUUUAGAUUCAUAAAUUUUGUUAAAGUAUUAAUUAAUAUGUAUGGGAUGAACUAAGAUGACUUUUAUUUUUAAGGUUAAAAUUACUUAAUUACAAUAAAUAGUUGAAAUUUAAUUUAUGAAUGUUUAUAAUUUAUAUUACAAUUUUAUUAUAUAUUUGCAUUAUUCAAAUAUCAUAAUACACUAAUUAUAACAUUUUAAUUUUUUAUCUUUUUAUUUUAAUAUUUUAACUUUGUAAAAUAAAUAAAAAAUCAAAAUGAUCAACAAAUCAACGUACCUUCUCGACUAACAUGUUAUUUUAAAGGAGUAAGGAAUAGUAAAUGAACUGAAUUUGCUUCCAUCCCACCGAUUGAUGACGUUCAAACAUAAGAAUCUUCACUUUUUUUCAUCUAUUUCUCUUUCCUAGAAUAUAAACUUUUACCAAUUCAUUGAAAUAUAUAAUUUUUUUAAGUAACUAUUAUAACAAUUAAUUUGCGCAUAUCAUAAUAAUAUUUGAUUAAGCUAUAAUCUAGAAAAAUACUCUUUUAAGAAUUAAAAUAAGAAAAAAAAGGUAGUUAUAAAAAUGAAUUUUACAGUCAUUUAAUCCUAGUUUAUAGUAAAAUCAUUAAUUUUUAUAACAAUUAUUUACAAGUUAUACUAAGAAGAAUUGUUUUAUAUUAUCAUUAUAGUAAUCAUUAGUUUCUUAAAACAUUUAUGUUAGUAUUAUUUCGAAAUGAAUUUUUUAUUCUAUUUUUUUUUUAUAACUUGACCAUCAAUAGCCAACAAAUAAGGUUAUGGCAAAAUUUUCUUUUGGAUCACGAAACAUGUUUAGAUUUGAUUCACUCUUUUGACCCUUCGAGUUUGCAUGGAUUAUAAGUAUUGUAAUAAAAAAAAUCACUUUUAAUAUUUUUUAAGUGAAUCUUAUGUUUUUAAUCAUAUUUUUAGAGCCAUCAAGCAUCAAAUUUAGAAAGAUUCAACUCUUUUUAUUUUUUGUUUUUUAUGAUGAAGCCACUAGGGUUUUGAAAUAUAUGUGAUGACAUGAUAAGGUACAUCAUUCAUUUUUAUUCUUUUAACACCUCUGAUAAGUUUCUUCUUCCCAGAGUAUUCUCUUGCCAUAUGUAAGCAUCCUGUGGUAACAGACAUAAAAAAGACAAAUACAAAGAAAAAGAAAAAGGAAACAAAAGGAAGAGAAAUAAGUAAAAAAAAUAAAGUUAUUUGGUCAAAGGAAAAUGAAGAAAUGUUGUUUGAAUAAAAAUAAAUACAUAAAAUAAAAGUUAAUUUUAAAAAUAAAAUUUUUAUCUAGAAAAAAUUACACUUGUAUUUUUUUAAUGUUAUAAUGAAUGAUACUCAUUUAUUCUUAAUUUUAAAAUAGAUAUUUAUCACUCCCACCAUUAACGUAAAUGAAGUUUGUUAAAUAUACAUACACAUAACAAGUCUCCAUUAACUUCUACCUUCUAGGUGCUUAUUUGUAAUGCAUCUUCUAUACAACUUAGAUAGAAAGUGAUAUAAUUUGUAUAUUCUUCAUCUUUAUAAAGUUAUGUAGUAUGGAAAACUUAGAUUUCAUAUUCACUCUUAUAAGUAUGAACCUUGUAAAUCAACAACUUACAAUUGUAUAAUUUAGAGAGGCUUUAUGUACUUAAUCUAUGUUAAGAAAAAUUCAAUAGUCAAAUUUUGUAUUAAGUAUUAUUAAACAACAAAGUAUAAAAUAUCAAACUUUGUCUGUAAAACAUCCUUUUCUUUGCAACCGAUAAUAUAAGAUGUAAGUAUUUCAUCUAAUAGAUGAUACAACAUGUUGGAGUCUUUUUUUUAUCGGAUAAGCAUUGUUGUGUUUUCACAAUACACAUAUAGUUAUAAAAACCAUUGGUGGGAUGAUUUAUUUAAAUAUAUUAUCAACAAAUAGACUUAUUCAACCGUAAUACAAUUAAGGGGGUUGUUGUAUCCACAGGGAAUAAAAAAAAAUACCAAAAUAAUAAUAUUGUUCAAAAUGAUGUGAGAAUACAAUAAAAGUUGAGUGCAUAUGUGGUGUAGAAUAAAUAUGAUAAUUUAAUAGUAAAUGAUAUAUUUAGUGAGAUCGAAACUUGAUUAAAAAAAGCAAUAGGUAAAUGAUUGAGAACAAGUGUUGGUAUUGAAGUAGCUUUGUAAAUCUUCUUUUGUUGUUAUUUAUAACUGCUUUGUAUACUCUUUUUUUUUUAAAUUAUUUUUUAUUUAUAUUUUAUUUUAGUUUAACUUUAAUUUACAUUUUCAAAAUUUAUUUUUUACAUUAAAUUAAUUUCUAAAAAUAUUUUGUUAAGUUAUUACCCAAAUAUAUUAAUAUACACCUAAAUUUAUUUUACCACUAACUUAUCUUCAUUCCAAACAAUACACUUAUAUUCUCUCUUCUUUGUUUUUUUUUUUUCCUUUUUUACUCUAUACCCUCAAAGUGAGUGAUUUGAUUGAUAUAAUAGAUAAAAAAAAAUAAGUUUUUAAUUGAUAAAUUUGUAAGAUUAUUAUUUUAUCUUGUGUUUAAUUUUUUUUAGAAUGAAUAAUGGUAAAUUAUUUGUACUUACUAUCUACGUUUGGUUAAAACAGUAUUCUCAUUACAAAUAUCAUUCUUGCUACAAUUUAGGAAUUCUAUUGAAAAAUAACUGCGAAUUAUCUAACAUUGCCUCAUGUACAUGUAAAAAUGUAGAAAAUAGAUUUUCAAAAAAGGAAAUUAAAAAUUAAAUAAAUUUUGAAUAAAAAUAAUUAUAAAAGAUUAAAACAAAAUUUUAGAUUACCUAAAACUUUAAAUAAUAUACAUACAUUGGUGUCCUAUUUGAGCAUAUAAUUAAAAUUAAAUAUAGAACAAUACACCAAAUAAUAUAAAAAAUACAGUUAAAUUACAAUAAUUGAAAAAAAGAAGAACUAAAGUAACAUGAGUUCUUUUAUUGGAGAGAGUUUUGGAAGUCAUCAAUCUUCGUGCAUAUCAUCUAUUGUUUUAUGCACUCUCUCAAAAGUUGAGUUGACAUUGAUCUUCAAAAUGUUUAAUCAUUCCUACAACCCUUAAAUAUCAUCCCAAAUUUGUGAAAGCAUAUUAGCAUUAGAGUAGACUCGGAGUUCUAGUUUAAUCUCAUGAACAUGGUCCUUAGGUAUUGGUGCAUUUGAUUGUCAGGAUUUUGUUUAUCAUCUUGGUUGAAUCUACCAUGUUGUCAGACACCAUUGACAUUAACCACAUUCAAUUUCUUCAAAUUAUUUUCAUUAAAAAGUGUGACUAGACUAAGUGGGCAGAUGCAUUUAUAAAUAAGUCCACAACAUAUUGAGCAAUGAUACAUCUAAUAAGAAUGGUGUAUGGAAGUGACAUCUCGUUGUCCUUGAAUUUCAUCAUGUGUUCCAUGAUGUGAUAAGAAAAAUUAAUCAAAAUGUUAUUUUUAUGGCCCAUAACAUAAAUGCAAAAUUAGUAGUUUAUGGUCUCAAAAUACGCAUGAACAUGUAAUGCAAAAGUUCGUCAUUAAUAUUUAAACUACUUGCAUUUAUGACACUUUAACCUUGCAUCUAUGGUCUGGCCAUGAAACUCAAUGUCAUAUCAUGGUCUUACUACAGCUCCUCAGGGAUGUUUAAAAUGAUAGUUUUGUUUUAACUUUAUACUUGAUAUUCGUCAUAGCCAACCAAUAUGUCAGUUUCAUUUUAAUCUUUCUCUUGUUAUCCUCAUUGUAGAGAUGACUAACUUCUAUGACUUUAAAGUUUGAAUAAAAUACUCUAAUAAGAUCUUCAUAGUCAGAGAGUUAUGAUAAAGACAAAUUGUUCCAAACUUUGAAAUUUUAAGUGAUGGUCAAAGUAUAUACCUAAUUGUGCAAAAUAUAGAAAAUGCAUUAACUUUGACGAUAGAACUAUCAUGAUGUAAAAAUCCUUCACAUGUUCAAUCAUUUGAUCACACUUGCUGAAAAAAUAUGUUUAAUUUAACACCUCUUUGAUGCCUAGUAGAUUCAUACGAGGACUCCCCCAACAGUGGUUAGAGUUUUUCCUUUCCUUUCCUUAACACUUUCCUAUCUUUUAUUUGUUGAAGACAAAGUCAUCAUUGCAAAACUAAAUAUUAUGAAAACAUCUCUCUUUACAUAUUUCCUAUUUUCAAUAUGAAUAUUUGAAAUGAAGCAAUUUACAAAAUGUAAAGGCAUUACAUGAUGAUAAUAAAAAUAUUGGACAUUUAUUUAAAAGGACUUCCCACACAGGUCACAAAAAUUCAUAUUCAUGAUAAAACAACAAAAUAAUCAUAUAACAUGUUAGAAAUGUGGAAUUCAACCGCUUACACUCAUUAACUUCAACAAAUAGUUGAGAAAAAAAAGAUAAAAGUUGUCUUAAAAGUUAUUUUAAAUGAGUCAAUUUGGUCAUUUUUGUUAAAUUGACUUCAAUGACGUUAACUCGAUCGUUACCUAGCACGCAAAGUUACACAGUGAGGUAGAAAACAAAAAUUCUAACUUUCUCUCUCUUCUUUAUAUGAACAUUUGCUGCAAGAAUAAGAUGAUAUCGACCAUCAAACUCCAUUUCAAAGUCACCCAACUCUCCAAUUUCAAGUGUCAAAGGUACUAUUCCCUCUUAUCUCUCUUAUUUCACUUUUCAACGACCAAAACAUUAAAUUUAUGUAACUUACCAUAUUUUUGGAAACCACUAGAGUUGAAACCAAAAUCUACCACGUGAAACAGAAUAGAAACCUAAAAGUUAAAUCUAUUGUCAUCAUAGUGAAAUUGGGAAGGUCUUCACGGAGACUCUGCAACGUCAUUCAAGAGUAUCUUUGAUGCUUGAAAUUAGAGAGUUUGGUGACUUUGGAAUGGAAUUUGAAGGUUGUCAUCAUCACAUCAUUGCGACGAAUAUUCAUUGAAAGUGACUUUAUUCGACGCCAUUAAAAAGAGAAAAAGUUAGGAUUUUCAUUUUCUGACUCACUAUGUCACUUUACGUGUCAGAUGAUGAUCUAAUGACGUCGUUCAAGCCAAUUUAAUAGAAACAAUCAAAUUAACUCAUUUUAAAUAACUUUAAUUUUUUUUAAAAAAAAAUAUAGAGACUAAAUUGAGUAAAGUCAUAAGAUAUUGAAAAAAAAGAUAAUUAUGCCUUUAUUUUUUUAAUAUAAAACAUAUAUUAAUAAAAUACUAAAUUUAUUUUAUAUUGUUAAUUACUUUAACAUUUAUUUUUAUUAUUCAUUUUUAUAAUAUAAUUGUAAGUAUUUAAUCAUUAUUUAUAUUUAUAUUUAUAUAUUUAAGCUAUUUAUUAUGUUACAAUAAAAACUAAAUAUUUAUUAUAUUUGAUUUAAAGUUAAUCCACUAGAUAAUUCACACAUAAAACUAGUUCUUUCUAAACUUUUGUCUAGUAUCUUCCUAAUUCAAUGUCUCCCUUUUCACACUUUUUUCCUUUUCCAUUUCUCCAUCCUUUCUCUUUCUCUCUUUUGGUACUCAACAACAAAGGAUAAUCUCAUUCUCCAAAAUAAAUUUUUUUUCUUGUCUCCAUUUUCUACUAAGUCGAAUUCAUAAUCUAGUAAAAUUAUUGUUUUUCUCAUAAUUUCUUAAAAUAAAUAACAUACAAUCACAUUACAAACUUUUAAUAUUAUUAUUUUAAUAUUUUUUAUAUUAUUUAAUUAUAAAUUUACUUUUUAUUAUAUAUAUUUAUUAGUGUAUAGAUUGAUGAAUACAUGUAUAUUAGUGGUGGUUUCGUUUCCCUCGCUCCUUCCCUCCCUUAUCAUUCGCGUGCCAUCUUUCUCGCAUAUUAAGCGCUGAAACCGACGUACACACCUGUCCCCAUUUUCUCUCUCUUCCCUGUCUUGUCUAUUCUCACUUUCUCUCUCUUCUCUCUGCUCCAUUUCAGUGCUCUGUCUUCUCCCCACCACCCCACUCUCCCUUUCUCUCACACUCAUCCUAUCAUCAUCAUCAUCAUCUUCCUCAACAUGCCAUCCCUUUUGACCCUCCUUCUUCCCCUCUCUCUCAACGCCGCCGUUUCAUUCCCCACAACAUGCUGCUGACUACUCCCCCUUCCAACUUUCACUUUCCCCAUUUCUUCUCCUUCGCUUUUCCCCAUCUGGGUAUGCUCCAGUUUCUUCAUUCUCUCAAAAAGACUCGUUUUUUAUUACUAUCUCCAAUGUUUGUUUGUCCUUCCUUUGCUGCCCACUUUUCAAUGAACUCACUGUUCUCAUUAUUUUUAAAAAGGGUCAUUAUUUUACUUUUGAAUAAGCUAAAUCCAACACGCGCUUGAUUUAAGUUGCUUGGUGAUGUGAUUUUGAUGGAUAAAAAAUUGCGACAGCUGGGUAUAUUUUUUUUAUAUAAUUCAUUUCAAAAAAGGGAUUUUGGUUGUCUGUUCUCUCAUUGUUUUCUGGAAUUCUUGAUUUCGGAGCUGAUACUUUUUUGCUCACUUUUUUGUUUUUGUUUUUCUGUUGAUUAUUAUAGUUAUUGUCAUCCAUUAUCUCUGUGUGUCCUCGUGCAAUACAAUUGUUCUGGGGGGGUGUUGGUGUGCUUUUUGCUCUGUUUACUCUCACUGAAUGUAUUUUUUUUCAUCUGUGAUUUUUUGAGGUUAAUUUGACUAAAAUUGGUCCUUGCACUUCUCACGGCUGAUGUUAUGAUUAUUCAUCUAAUCACUUGGAUUUUCUCUUUGAUUUCAAUUAUUAGUUCAUGGUUCAUUAUCAUGUUGCUUGAGGAAUAUAUGAACUAAUUCAAAAUGAUAUUUCAAUGGAGACUCGUAAUUUUCAAAAUUCCGUCACUUAAACUUCUGGUUGUUAUUGGAAGGUGUUGUGUUACACAUUGUUGUUUGCUUAAUAACAAAGGCUAGAAAUUGAUCCAUGUAGCCAACUCCGUUUGGUCGUCUUCUUGUUCUUGUCCAGUUGAAACUAAUAUACUAACUUCUGAGCAAAAAAAUAAGUAUGAUACAUUAAUACAUAAUUACAUUCGUCAAUCUAUUUUGGACUAUUUGAUUUGUACUAGUAAAAUAUUAUAACACUCGCAUGGCGAUUGUGGUUUCGUCUUAGGUACUUAGCUAACUGCAUUGAAGUUAUUCAUCCUCGAGGUUUAUGUGUUCUUUCCAUGUUUCUUCUUUCUUGCUAAAUAUUUUUCGUGCUGGUUGGUUGAUUUUAUUUUUGAUACUUCACUUCACAGUUAUUGCUUUAUCCUUCAAGCAUGUUUUGUAAACAAAACAAUUCUGUCAGAUGUUUGCCAUUGUCAUAUGGACUCUGAUUUUAAUAUGUUAUGGUGUAUUGCAUCACUGCAAUGCUAUUGCAAUAGAUUACCUUUGUGAGAAAAUAAUAUUAUGCCUCUAUCUGGUAGAUUUUUGCCUUCCUAUUAAAUUUGUAAUGGAUAAAAAAAUGUGAGUUACAUCUUGAAGUGUUAUUUUAUUGCUGCUUGAGAUAAUUUAAUGCUGUUGUGAGUCAGUUUCUGUUGGUAGAUUUUGUCUUCCUAUGAAAUUUGUGUUGUAUAUGUAUUGAGUUUCAUCUUGAAGAAUUAUUCUUAUUGCUUCUUGAGAUAAUCUGGUUCUGUUGUAAGUCUCUUUUUAUUCCUGAUCCCUACUUGGCUUUUGUUACAUAGCUGUUUUUUGCUAUCUCCAAGCUUUAAGUUGAUCCAAAUGCAUAGCUAUUUUUACAGGAAUCAUCCAACAACUAGUGAUCUUCUGAUUUAGUUGUUGACUCAUGCUUGAAGAUUUUAUGAAAUCGUUUUCUGUUUGAUAUUUCUUUAUUUCUCACCAUGCUCUUGUGAAUUGAUGUUAUGAGUGUCACAAUUGUUCCAGUGACACGAUGAGUUCAAGAUUUGAGACAUGGGCUGUGGGAUUUGCACUUGGAAAUGAAGGAGAGGCAACGUUGGAGAGCUGAAGAGGAUGCUUUAUUACGUUCUUAUGUCAAACAGUAUGGUCCUAGGGAAUGGAAUCUCGUGUCUCAGCGCAUGAACACAACUCUGAACAGGGAUGCAAAGUCAUGCUUAGAAAGGUGGAAGAACUACCUGAAGCCUGGCAUCAAGAAGGGGUCUCUAACGGAGGAAGAGCAGCGCCUUGUAAUCCGGCUUCAAGCGAAACACGGCAACAAGUGGAAGAAAAUUGCUGCAGAAGUUCCAGGUAGAACUGCCAAGAGGUUAGGGAAGUGGUGGGAAGUGUUUAAGGAGAAGCAACAAAGAGAGAAUAAGGAGCUCAAUAGAAUCCCUGACCCUAUUAACAACAGCAAGUACGAGCACAUUCUUGAGAGUUUUGCUGAAAAACUAGUAAAGGAACAACAUCCUUCACCAUCAUUUGUUAUGGCUGCUUCUAAUGGGACAUUUCUGCGUACUGACACACCAGCACCUGCAUCAGCCUUGCUUCCUUCUUGGCUUUCCAAUUCUAGUAGUGCUGCUGCUGCUGCUGGCCCAAGUUCCCUUUCUGUGACACUAAGUCUUUCUUCCUCAACAGUUGCUGCACCUCCAUUCUCAUGGUUGCAACCUGAUAGGGGACCAGACAAUGUUCCUUUUGUUUUGGGGAAUAUACCAGCUUUCAGUGAAAACAUGCUGAUAUCUCAGAUGGUGGAGCACUGCAAAGAGUUGGAAGAGGGACAACGAGCUUUGGGUGCUCACAAGAAGGAGGCAGGGUGGCGGUUAAGCCGGGUGGAGUUGCAGUUGGAGUCAGAGAAGGCAAGCCGAAGAAGGGAGAAAAUGGAAGAGUUUGAAGCAAAGAUGAAGGCUCUUCAGGAAGAGGAGAGAGCUGCGUUGUGCAGAAUCGAAGCAGAAUACAGAGAAGAGUUAGCUGCAUUGAAGAGAGAUGCUGAAAACAAGGAACAAAAGUUAGCAGAACAAUGGACUGCAAAGCAUUUGCAGCUUACUAGGUUGCUAGAGCAGAUUGGAUGCAGAGGAGGGCUGCUUGAGCCAAAUGCAAGAUGAAGAUAUCUUUUGGAACAAGGUUCUCUUGUGACUUCAAUUAUAUGCAGUUCACAAGAUUAAGAUAGCUUUUGAAAAAAGGUUCUCUUGUGACUUCAAUUAUAUGCAGUUCACAAGAUGAAGAUAGUUUUGUGGUAAAAUGGAUAUAGGUGUUCUUAUGACUUCAAUUGUUUGCAUUUUGUGCUUGUUGUGAUCUUGGUAUAUUUGUGUUGUAGAUGUGUGCUAUCAGUUUGUACCACUUGAGUAAUUUCUGUGAGCACUUCAAUUAUAGUAUCAUCACUUCCAAGUAUGUGAACUUAGUUUUUUUCCUCACCAUACUUGCCUCCAAAUUCUUUUCUUGGAGUGGCAUUUGCUGAAUGAUUCUAUGUAAAUGUAUCUAAUCUUUAGACAUGUUUGAAGCUUUCCUAGAAACACUUCUAGAAAGAGAAGAAAAUAAAAUAAAAAUGAAAUGAGUUAUUCCAUUAGAUAAAAUUAGUUUACCAAGUUCUUUUUUUAAAGUCUGGUAAGUUUUUCUUUUUCUUUUAUUGUUUUAGAAAUGCUAUUGGGGAAGUUUGACUUGAAUAAGUAGAGACUAAACACUACCAUUGGGUUGAAUUAGUGUAAAACAUUUUCAAAAACAAGUUUCCUCCCAUAUAUAUUAAAAAUUAUUAUUUAUAUCAAAUUGUUUUAAGAAUUUUAUUUGUUUACAAAAAAUUAUUAUAUUACAUAAGUUAAAUCAACUACAAUCUUUAUAUUCUUUUCAUUUGUUUUAUUUUAAAAACAACUUCAAUAUAAACAAUUACACUUUUCACUCUUUCUCUUUUUUUUUUCAUUUUGUUCCCUCUCUCUGAUUCAAACACGUACAAGACACACAUGCAUAGAUAUAUCACUUAUGCAUUAUUUGUUUCUGGUUUCUGGGAGUGAUUUUUUUGCAAAGAAAAGCAAAGAAAGUGAGAAAAUCAAGAAAUAAAAUAUUAUUAAAAUUUAGAAAUUGAGUUCAUGUUUUUUUCUUUUGCAAAUAUGCAAAGAAUUGUAAGGAAAUACAAUUAAAUAUAUUUUAUAAUUAUUAAAAAUUUACAUAAUAUCAUUAAAAAAUUAAAAUUAUCCUUAAUUUUAUUUGUAUCAAUUUAAUAAUAUUAUUAAUAAAAAUAAAUAUAAUUAUUUAUAUAAUAAUAUUAAUUAUAAAAAUAUAUAAAUUAAUUAAUUAAAUUAUUAUUAUUCAAAUAUUUUUAAAAUCAAUAAUAAAUUUGUAAAUUUAUAUUUUAUAUUUUUUUUAAAAUUAAAAAUUUCUACACAAUCAUCUCAUCACUCAAACUUAAAUAAAACUUUCUAUAGAAAUCUAGUCUAAUAUAUCCCAAUCCAAACAAUCUUACUUUUCUCUAAAAAUCAUUCCAAAUUCAAUUUUUCAAAUCUCCUCAUUAAUCCAAAAACAUCAUUAAUAAAAUUUAAGUUUAACGUCCUAGUAUAUGUAUUUAUAUUUUAUGAUAACUUAAAAUUCUAAUAAUGAUUAAAAAAUAAUAUAUAUGAAAUUGCAUCCAAGUUUAUAAAAUAGAAAAAAGAACGCCUUUAUUUGUACAAAAUUAGACACACUCUUCCAAUUCGAUAAUUAAAAAUAUUAAAGGAUGAAAACACAGUUCAUAUAAUUUCCUUUUAUUGAUUCAAAUAAAAAUAUUUUUUCCUUAAAUUAUGUCCAUUAAAAUUUAAUAUAAAAAUGAAAAAUUUAGUGAAAAUAAAUUUUAAUUAAUUAAAAUAUAUUCUAUGAUUUAUAUUUCCGUAUUAUCAGUAUAAAUAUAAAUAUUCAUUACAUUAUAGUUUUGUUUGGCAACUAUUUCUUCGAAAACUUGAUGUAAGAAGAUUGAAUCUACUAUCAUUCCAAUACUUUGUUGGCUAGAUAGUGUUAAAGAUGAUAAAAUAUUUUAAAAAAAUGUUAAUUUGAUAAUUAAUAAAUACACCAAUUUAUAAUUUUUUUAAAUUUUCUUUAUUUUCUUAUAUAAUUUAUAUUUCAGUAAAAGAUUUUAGCAGUUAUAUUAUGAAGUAAUCUAAUUUUUUUUUGUCAAUGUAUCAAAAUUCUAUUAAAUAAGAAACACUAAUUUACAGUUUCUUAAAAUUUCUUCAUUUUUUCCCAUAACUCACAUUUCAAUAAAAUAUUGUUUUUUCUUAUCCUUGUAACAGUAUUAAUAGGAAAUAAUUCAAUAUUUGUAAAUAUAUGAUUUUUUUAAAAUGAAAAAAAGUUUUUUUAAUACCAUCUACACUAGAAAAACAUAUAUUUAACAAAUAAUAAUCUAAUAAUAUUUUGAAUUAAAAAAUAAAAUAAAAUAUUAAUUUAUUGAAGUGUGAGAUGUAUAUUUUACUGUUCAUAGUCUUAACAUAUCAUCAUCCACAAAAUAUCUCAGAAUGUAUUAAAUAAGAUGAAAGUAGUUAAAGUUUAAUUAAUUUUUUGAUUGAAUAGUGUAUUUAAAUUUAAAUUUAAAUAAAGAGAAGGUAUAUUCUUAGAGGAUUUGCAGAGUGAAUAAUUUAGAAAGGAGUGAAGGAGGGAGUGUGGCAUUUUGAAGCACUGAAACCAAAGUACCACACUGCUCUAUUAAUGCCUUUUUCCUCUCUUUUUUUUCUCUCUUGUGACCCUGUGCCCUGUCUUGUCCAAUUCCAUCUCUUUACCUACACCCCCACCCCACCAAAUAUUUUCUCUCUCUUCCAUCAACAAUGAACCAAGCUCCUAGGUAGUUAGGGACCAACUUCAACCCUUCUUCUUCUUCUUGCAUUUUUCACCAUUUCACUCACCAACCAACCAACCAAGGAUGACUUUGUCUUUGGGUUCAGGGCUUUAGGAUGGUGGGGUUUGAAAAACUGUUCUUUUCUUUGUUUUUCUAUCUCUCUGUGCCUCCCCACUUUUGGUGAAGUUUCAAGUUUUGUUCUUUCUGAUUUUCUCUUUUGAUGCUGUUUAAGGGCUCUAGAUUGUGGAAGUUUUGGUGUUGUUUUGCUCCCAUUGUUUGUUUCGGCUUAGUUAUCUUUGCUUUGGUUUUGAGUCAAGUUUUGUUUGUAGAAUGAUUCUUAAAUCCUAUGCCUUUUUAAGUAUGGGAUUUUUUUUUAUAUUUUUAAAAUGCUUACUUUUUAUUGAAUAUUUAUUUUAUAAACCAGUACCAAUAUUUGUGGAACAUUGUUGUGUUUUCUUUUAUUCCAGUAGUUUCCACUAUGCAUUUAUGCUUUGUUUUUGAGUUUGUAUAGCUGAUUCCAUGAUGACUUGAAUAACUUACCUAAUGUCUUGGGAGUCUUGUAACCAAUCCUGAAAUUAGUGUGAUUCAAUGGAAAAAAUUAAGGAGUGUGUAUCUGUCUCAUCGAAACCAAUGCUUCAGAUUCCAUUAUUCUAUUUUGGAAUAAAAGAUAAGGAGGAUAAUGUUGUUUUAUUGAGUGAUGUGAUUGUUUUUGGCUACUGCCCUUAUAUAAUAAUUAAUAAUUCUGAAAACUGUAUAUUAAAGGACCUGAAGAAUUAUUCAGUUUUAGAAAGGUUUGUUGCAGCCAUUUUUAAUUCAGUAGUAUGCCAGUUAAAAAAUUUCUCUGGAAGAUCUUGGCAAAAAUAGCCAUUAUUUUAAUCUGCUUUCAACUUUUAUACUCAAUCAUCACGUGUCUCUGGAAGAUCUUGACUAAAUAGUCAUUCUCUAUGUUUCUUUGGUUGGUAGUUUAUGUAUGCUGCACAUGCAUUCUGCAUAUUGACAGUGUGCUAAGUGUUCUAUUCUUAGUGCGAAUUCUGUUUUCUGCAUUAGGCUAGGCAUGACAUUGUCAUGAAUUGAUUUGAAGAUGAUCUUGCUUCAAUGUUGAGCACGGUAUGAAUUAUUAUGAACACUUUGGAAUUUUAGCAGAAAGUUCAUUUGUGUUUCUAUUGUUGGUCAUCAAAUUAACUUUCUAUCACUCUUCUUUUAGUAAACUGUUAAUUUCGGACAAACACUAGAGUCAAGAAGCAAGUAAAUGAAAUUCAAAUCCAUUGUAAUUUCUGUCACUGUUGACCCAACAGUUACACUGUAUUGCCAUGAAAAUUAUUUGAAGCAAUUACCUUCUUUCAAGAACUUUGGUUUUUAUGAAAUUAUAUAUAGUUUGAGCUUUGUUUAGUAGUGUUGCACCUUAAUUUUGUGAUUAGUUGAAAUGAUAUGUUAUUGUUGUGUUAAUAGGUCUUUAAUUGUUUGAUCUUGCAAUCAUUGUUGUCAUGAAUUAUGCAGAUACAAUAAUGAAGAGUUCAAGAUUGAAGAAAUGGGCUGUGGGAUUUGCAGUUGGAAAUGAAGGAAAGGCAACGUUGGAAGGCUGAAGAGGAUGCAUUGUUAUGUGCUUAUGUUAGAGAGUAUGGUCCUAGGGAAUGGAACCUUGUGUCUCAGCGCAUGAACACAACUCUGAACAGGGAUGCAAAGUCAUGCUUAGAAAGGUGGAAGAACUACCUGAAGCCUGGCAUCAAGAAGGGGUCUCUAACGGAGGAAGAGCAGCACCAUGUGAUCCGGCUUCAAGCGAAACACGGCAACAAGUGGAAGAAAAUUGCUGCAGAAGUUCCUGGUAGAACUGCCAAGAGGUUAGGGAAGUGGUGGGAAGUGUUCAAGGAGAAGCAACAAAGGGAGAAACAAGAGAUUAACAAAGCAAUUGGUCCAGUUGAUAACACCAAAUAUGAUCACAUUCUUGAGACUUUUGCUGAGAAGCUAGUGAAAGAACACCCUUCACAAUCAUCAUACCUUAUGGCUGCUUCUACUGGACCAUUUAUCCAUACUGAUGCACAUGCAACUGUUCCUGCACCUGCACCUGCAUCUGCAGCAGCAGCAUUGCUUCCUCCUUGGCUUUCAAAUUCUAGCACCACCAAUCCCUCACCAGCAAUUAUGCCACCUUCCCCUUCUGUGACCCUCAGUCUCUCAUCAACUGCACCUCCUCCCCCUUGGUUGAAUGUAACAACACCUCAUGGUGAUGGCAUAGUAGUUUCAGAGUUAAUAGACUGCUGCAAGGAGUUGGAAGAAGGGCAUCAUGCUAUGGUGGUGCACAGGAAGGAGGCAGCAUGGCUGUUAAGAAGGGUGGAGCUGCAGUUGGAGGCAGAGAAGGGAAACAGAAGGAGGGAAAAGAUGGAGGAAAUUGAAGCAAAGAUUAAGGCUCUGGGGGAAGAAAAGAAUGCUGCUUUGGAUAGGAUAGAAGCAGAAUAUAGAGAACAGUUAGCAGGGUUGAGAAGAGAUGCAGAAAGCAAGGAGAAGAAGUUGGUUGAGGAAUGGAAUGCAAAGCACAUGAGGGUAGUGAAGUGUAUGGAACAAGUAGGAUGCAGAAUAUCCAGAAUUGCUGAGCCUAAUGGAAGAUAAAUAGAAGAAAUUAUUCAGAAAUUUGCUCUUUAUGUAGUUUGGAUCUUGUAGUCCAACUAUCUAUUUGUAUUGAUCUUGCACUAGUUGCAUCCAUCUUCCUGAAUUGAAUUCUUGCUGUGUUCAAAUUUCCCUUCAACUGUGUUGCAUCUCAGUGAAGGAAUUCUUGCUGUGUUCUAAUUUUCCUGCAAACUGUGUUGCAUCUCAGUGAAGGAAGGAUGUGUUGGUUCUGAAGAAAUUGCUACUCAUUUGGGUAAUCUUGUUUAUAUAUAAUAAUAGUUUGAAACAGGUUUAUAUGGAGAACGUUUGAUUGGUGCAAAAAAUAUGUGAACAGUGAAUAUAGAUUGUUCUUUGAUUCUAUUUCAAUAGUUGGUAUUAAAAAAUAAGUACAUAAAUAAUGUGUCACUAUCUAUUUUUUUAUUUUAUUUUUAUAUAGUUAUAUCAUUCGAAUUCUCGGUUUUUUGAAUUUAAAAAUAUUUUGUUUAGUUAGAUGAAGUUAGCUUAUGAUUUAUGAUUUUAUUUAUUUAUUUAAUGAAAAUAGGUUGUUUUUAACAAAGAAUUAAAAGAGAUAUAAUUAAUUUACUCUUUAUUUUACCAGACCGAACUUCGACCUUCAUUUUUGGUUCGUGGUUGCUGAUGCCCCACAGAAUUCGAUUCCUUGAUGGUUGAAUUUUGAGAAUUUUUUUUUCUCUAGGGGUGGGUGAGGAAGAAGAAAGAAAAAUAAAAUUAAAAAUAACUUUUUUGAAAGUAAAAACUGAUUUUGAAAAAACUAAUUAAGAUUGGGAGAAAUUUUUUUAAAUCGUUUGAGAGGAAAGAAAUUAAAAAGUUAUGUAAGGUGAAAUAUAUUUUGGUUUUGUAGAAAAUAUAAAUAUUUUAAAAUGGAAGGAAAUAUUAAAUUUUUGUGAAUUUUUAUUGGUCAAUUAAAAAUUUGAAAGGAUUUUAAAAAAGUAGUUUGAAAUAUAAAAUGAAUAAAAAUAUAUGUAGUGCAUUUUUUAUGUUUCAAAAUAGGAAAAAGUAAAAGAAAAAUGUUUUGUAUUAAAUAAAUGUAUUAAAAAUUGACUUAAAUUUUGGGAGUUUUUUUUUAAUUUGUAUGAGGGGGGAGGGGAGGAGGAGAGGGGGGAAUAAAACAAACAUUGUUUUUUCUUAAUUGUUUUUUGAAAUUAAAGUUUUGUUUAUUUCUUGGUUAAAAAUGAAAAUAAAUUAAUAAUAUAAAAAUGAUUGAAUUAAAAUUUUGAAAGAAUAAUAAAGAUGAAAAGAGAAUGAAAUGAUAUAGUUUAUAUGUGAUGAAAACUAUUUAGUCUUGAAACUUUUAGUUAAGAAGAUAAAUAAAGAUCGAGUAUUAUUGGAGGAAAAACACUCAUAAAUUGAAGAAUAUUUGUUUUCUUCCUAAUCUUGUAAAAAUUGUAUAGGGUAGUUAGGAAUUAUUUUUGGAACAAGUAGAGUAGGGUGUAAAUAGAAAAGAUAGUAGGGUGUAAAAUAGGAAAAGAGGGGUGCAAAUAGGAAAUUAGACAAGGAUGAUAUGAAAGUCCACAUGUCAUUUCCUUAAUGGAGAGGAUUUUCCUCCAAUGAAGACAUGUCACUUGUCACUCUCCCAAUAAAGAGGAUUUGCACUAAUAAGGAGGUGACACUUGUCACACUCUCAUUUGAGAGGUUUUGAAAGACUUUCUCUUAUAAAUAGGGGUCUUUUGUACAUGUUUUUUAACUUUGAUUAGAGUAAAGAAUUGUUGUCCAUUUUUUUAGAAACUUCUACUUGUCAAAGUUCUCUUUAGAGUUAUUUUCUUGCUUGACAAAUUUCUAGACUCCUCCUAGUAGUGUUGGCCCAACCUCAAUCUAAAAACUAAGUGUUGGUCUAACCUCACUUAGAUUGAAGUCAUAAUUUCCAUCUCCUCUUUGAAUUUUUCUACACUUCUUACAUGUUUUCACUAUCAUUCAUCAUUUGUACAAGAAAUUCAAACCAAAACAUUGAAGAAGAAGAUCUACACAUGAGCAUGCAAAGUCGGAUUGCAUCAUUUAGCAGCCACAAAAUUUCCUCUGUAGAUCUUGUUAACUUGGCAUACAGUUCAAUCAUUGUAGGAAAUGGAAAUAAAGACUUCCAAGUUAACAAUUGAUAAACAUUUUCAUUAGUUAUUAUCUAACUAACAUCAUACCUUGCCCUUAUGUGGUUAACUGAGCUUGGAAGUAGUACAACUUCAUCAAUAUUGUCUGAUUUGGAAGUCCCAAAGCGCCACAAAAUUUCUCAUUUAAUGUUUCGUUUGCAUCCGAGUGAACACUAUUCGCUCAGAUAGAAAAGAAAAGAAAAUGUUGGUUUGUUUCCAAUGAAUUAAGCGAAUUGAAAAACGUUGAUUUGGGGAAGAGGGAUAACAACAAUCCCCUCUACCAUGCAAAGAAAAACCGUAAAAGUUUACAAAAAUUUACAUAUAUCAGUAAAAAGUUAAAAUUAUCCUUAAUUAUUUUUUUAUACACAUAUAAAAUAAAACUUUAUAUAUUAUAAUAAAAAAUAUUAUAUAUUUAUAAUAUAAAUAAUAAUUAAUUAUAAUAAUAAAAUAAACAUAUUUAUAUAAUAAUAAUAUAAAUGUAUUUAGAUAGUAAUAGUAAAAUAAAAUAAAUUAGUAUAUAAAUGUGUUCUCGCCGGUUGACUUGGGUGGAAAGUUCUGCUUCUAACCUGUCUCCUUUAGAUUCUGUUCUACGUCUUCUCGUCUCAUUGGAACGUGGCUUUAUUGAGACAGAGGGGACUCUACCUGUUGAUCACACUCCGACGAUCAAGUCAGUGAGAACUUAAGAAAAUAAGAUAAGUAUUCAGUUUCAGUCUAGUAUUCAGAAACAACGUACCUUUACCUUGGGUCUCAAGCCCCUUUUAUAACUACUCUUGUAAUGGCUUUCACUCACGAGAAUAUAAUCUCAACUGGAAGCAUACGUAACAGAAAAACAUUAUGUUCACGGGCACCUUCACUCAUGGUGCUACAACAAAAGAGAAUCUAAUGCACCUUUAUUCUCGGGUGCUUUCUACUCAUUAACAACUUUAUAUUUUCAAUUAACAGCUUUAUGCAUACAUAUAUUCAGUUAACAACUACAAAUAUAUUGAUGCAUACACUUAUCUAUUAACAUAUAUACAUAUUUAACUAACAACCUCUUAUUAAUACCUGACAAAACUUAUUAUUUUAAUUAUUUUCCAUCGGGCUUACCAAUAAAACUGACCAAACUCAUGACCCACCCGCUGGGCCCAACAACUGAGCUGACCUACCCACAUGCUCAAAUCGAGGUCCCGAGAUCCCGAGUGCUCCUGCCCGAUACACAAGCCCCCAGGCUCGAGCUGAGCUUGGCUAAGCGAAGAGGCUUUUGAGUGCUUUGGCAGCUGACCUGAUGGUUUCUCAGUGGGUAGGUGUGGCGUAGUGCACAAAGUGUUUUUUGAGGUGACGUCUCACCACACUCAAUCCCAAGCGUAGACGUGGCACAUCCAUCAACGGUGGGAAAGCAUUGUCGCUUGCCAUUCCCCUUUGAAAUUCUCACUCCUACUCCACUACUCCAUUUCCCCAAAAUCUCCCUCCUUUCGUCUUCUUCCUCACACAAUCUUUCACUCUUCAGAAAACUCCUCGCACUCUCAAAACUUCUUCUUUAAGAUUUCCUCUUCCUCUUGCGCCAUCAAGAUCUUCUUCAACAAAGUAAACUCUUUUCUUCACUUGCUUAACAUAACAUGUACUUUCUCUUUACCAUUCUCCAUCAUCAAGCAUUUAUUUAUCGAUUAUACUGCAUGGGCUCAUCAUUAAGCCUUUCAUAUUAUUAAUCACAUUACUGGAGCUGUGAUCCUUUAUGGAUUUACCAUUUUCUGUUGAUAAUUGUUGCUUACCGGCUAAUUGCAUUGCAUGAUUGUAUGGUUCCCCUUAUCUCCAUUGGCUGACAAGAAACGAGAUAGGGCAGUCAUGCGUCCAGUUAGCUGCUAGACCUCUUUCACAUUGGCAUGGCUCCUCAUUCCUAUGAUGACAAUACAUUUGUCGGGGAUCGCCUUUAUACCCCUUUCAGUCAGCAAAAACUCAAGGAACUUCUCUGCUUCUACCCCGAACACACACUUAUCUGGAUUCAGCUUCAAAUUAUAUUUAGUUAUUUUCGUGAAUAGCUCCUCCAAGUCAACAAUGUGCUGAUCUCUCUCUUUUGACACACGUAUCGGACACGCCUUUUAAAUGGUGUGUCCAUGUCAGACACACGUAUCAGACACCAACACUCGUAUGACACUCGUAUAAUACAUAUCGGUGAAGUGUCUAAUUUAAAAAAAUAUUUGUUAGAUUUUUGACAAUUUUAACACGAUUCUAAUACAAUUUUAAAAAGAAAAAGUACAUUAAUUUUUUAAAAGAUCAAACUUAUUGUAUAAAUUUUAUUAUGAUUAUAAAAUUAAGGAACAAAUAUUUUGAAACCAAAACCAUGAGAAACAUCUUUUUGUUAAAAAAAAAAUAAAACAUACUUAUUCAUGUCAAUCUUUAUUGUCAAUUUAUAUAAUUUGUAAUUAUAUAACAUAUAAAUUUGUGUUUCGUAUCCUAUAUUUUAGAAAUUAUACGUAUCUUCGUGUCCAUAUCGUAUCAAUGUCGAUGAGUUUAAAUUGGAUUAAACUAAAAAUUCAAAUUAAUUCAAUUAAUUUGAUUUGAAUUUUAUAAUCGAGUUAAUUUCAAUCAAAAAAUUAUUUUAUAUUUUUAUUCAUUUAAAAACAUUAUUCUAGAAAACUUACUAAGAUAUAAACCCUUGAAUCUGCACCACUCACCCACAGAAGACAAAACAGCACCAUCCUCACUACUCCACCCAUGCUUCUCUGAAACUUUCUUUCAUCAUGGCCGUUCGAGCAGUAGCCACCUGCUCCCUCUUCCGCCCUCCCUCUCCGUCCCUCUUCUCCGCCACCCUCCGCCUCUACUCCUCUCGCUACCGCUUCUCCCGCUCCCUCCGUCAUGCCUCCCACUCCCACGCCCGCUCCAUCCACUCUGUCUUCGACACUGUCAUGGAAGAGCUCCGUGCCACGCGCAGAAGCCGCCACAAGCGCGUUUCCGCCGCGGCUUCAAGGUACUCUACUACUCUCUCCUUAGCAAGGUUUAUUGCCAUAUCUUCUAUUUCAAAUCGUGUAAACAACUCUGUCUGUGCCUUCAAAUUGCAGUCUCGAAUCGUAGGGUAUGUUUGGAUAAAGUUUUCUUCAUCUUCCCACGCCCUUACAAAAUAAAUGAAAAAAUAAACAAAAUUAGUUUUUCUGCAAGGUAUUUUAUGUAUAAACAAAUAACUAGAAACGUUUCGAUAUCAACUUCAUCACAUUCUCUCCAUAACAAGAGAGCAUUAAAUUAAUUUGAACCUUGUUGCCCAGUGAAAAGUAACAGUUUCAAACAUGGUAGUGGGAAUCGCCUUAGGAGCACGGCUGAUGUUGUCUGUCACGCAAAGGCUUUGCAAGCUAGUGAGGCUUUAUUUAUGUUGAGAAAAAAAUUUAAUAAAGUAAAAGAGAUAUGCUAUCUUUAAUAAUGAAGAUAUGAUAUGCAUUCCUAUUAAUACAUAUAUAAUCUAGAUAUUCUUUAUUAUAUAAUAUUUGCUCCUUAUUUUUAUAAUUAUAACUAUCUUGUUCAAGUUGGAGCAUAAGUCAUAUGUGUCCGGUUUGCUGCAAAUAGAAUCGAUAUUUGAUCCUCUUAAAAAUUUUGUGAGUAUGUCAGCUAAUUGUUCACAAGAGUUGACAAAUUGAGUGAUGACUCUAGUUUUCUCUUAUGAAAUGAUAAUUCUCCUCACUAUGUUUCGUUAGAGAAAGAGAGGACUAAAGGCAAUGGUAAUACUGCGUAGUUGUCACAUAUAAGGUGCAGUUGAGAAUUGUUUUUUCAAAUUUAAGCACUUUGAAGAGUUGUUUUAGCCAUAUGAGCUCACACGUGACUAUCACCAUUGCAUGUAUUUUGCUACUACACUUGAUCUUGCCAAAACAUUUUGUUUCUUACUUUUCCAUGAUAAGAAAUUACCUCCGACUAGAACACAAUAUCUUGAAGUGGAGCGUUUAUCACUUGGUGUGAUGUAAUCCUUAAGAGGAUGGUAGAAUCUUGAUGAACUCAAAAGGGGUUGAAAAAGAGAAAGUCCAUGGAAGAACAUUGAAAGGUUGUGAAAUCAUGGGUUCCAUGGCGAUUCAUUUUUGCAACUCAAGAAAACAACAUGUAAAAAAACAAGAACAAUUUUCAAAAUGAAAUAGAAACUGGAUUUAGAAUUGAAAUGGGGUAAAAACACAAAGAUAAUUGCACAAAUUGAAAUGGGAAUAAAACACAAAGGUAAAAACACAAAGAUGUUUCUUAAAGGAUAAUUGCAGGAAGAUUUACCACUUGAAAAAACUUUUCAAGAUAAGAACCAAAACAAGAGAAGAACUCUCUCAUGACCCACAACACAAAGAUAUAUCUCACAAAAUGAUUUCAUAUAUUAUUCAAGAGUGAUUUACAAGAGGCACUAGCUUCUUUAUAUAGAGAAUGUCACAACCUAGACUAGGAAAAGACACCCAACAAGUGUUUAGAAAAUUUAGAAAAGCCAAAUGUAAAUAUAAGACUACUUAAGCUAAAGUUAACUCAACUAGUCAUAUGUUUAAUUCUUAGUUAAUUAGUAAAUUACUAAUUAAUUCUUGCACAUGGGUGGUUCCUUGAAAUUAAGGAGAGACACAUGAUUGUUCCUAACUUUAAGGCAAAACUCAUUAUUACACCUUCAAGAAGCACUUGUGGCGCAUGGAGAAGUCGAAAACCAUGUGAAGUAGUUAUAACCAUCAUUACACUCACAAAGGUAACAUUGUUUAGUAAGAACAAAUUCAGUAGUUGUAGUGAGAUGAGAUUUGUAGCCCAACCCACUAAACUAUAACCCAAUUUUGGAAGCCCAAGUGGAAUAGUUAGACUUGUUCAUCUCAGUAAUAAUAAUUUGAUUAGAAAAGAUGGUAGAUUAUGUUCCAGAGGUUGAUGUGGUGUUAAAAAACAUUUUCUUAGGAAAGAGAGACAUUGAACUGAAACCAUCUGUUUCUGAGACAAUACAGAGGCUUUAUUUAUAUUGGUAAAAGAAGUCAAUGAGAUUUAAGAUCCUUUAAUAAUAAAGAUAUGAUAUGAGAAUAAAUAAACAUGUUUUUAAUAUUACAUAUAUAAUUUAGAUAUUCUUGAAUAUAUAGGAUUUGCUUCUUAUUUCUAUAAUUAUAACAAAGGUGAAGUUCUUACCAUGAGGAACACACUUUCGAGCAUGAAGAGGUUGGCAAGGGAAGGAAACACGCUUGAGAAAGCAACAUAUAUUAUUCUAGAGAGAGCAAGAUGAGUUGGGAGAGGGAGAGAGGGUGUGCUUUGCGGAGUGACUGCGAAGCAACACUGUAAAAAGAAAAAGAAUUGGUGUGGAAGGUGAACCAAAUUACUGUGAGGAUCAGCUAAAUCUUAUAGUGUGAAAAAGUGAUUCAUCAUAGAACACAUGAGUCUCUAGUCAACCUUAGAAUUUACCUAUGUUGGAGGUUCCACAUCGACCAAAGAUUAGAACAUUUCAUAGUAUAUAAGCAAGUGCAAACCUCACCUUAUGACCCGGUUUUGUAAGGUUGAAUUAGGCUAAAGUCUCCUUCUUAAUAGGUAUCAGAGCCAUUUGGAGUCCAUCCUAGUGAGAGUUUGUUGGGUUUAUCAAGCUACCCGCUAUCGAACCACCCAUAAAUAUAUAGUUAUACGCACAAGUUGGCAGCCUCGGCGUGAGAGGGUGUUUUGGACAUUUCAUAGUAUAUAAGUGGGUGCAAACCCCACCUUAUGAGCUGGUUUUGUAAGGUUGAGUUAGGCUUAAAGUCCACUUCUUAAUAACCUAAAAAAUUAGUUUAAAAAUAUAGGGACAUUAUUUUUUCUAUUAAGGACAUUUCAUGUAUUUAGUUAUGCAUUAAUUUUAGUGAUGCACUUAUUUGAAACUUUUGAUCUUAUUACUCUCCACUUUGAAUAUGGAAUUUAUAGUAUCACGAUAUAAAUGGAACAAAUUUUGUUAAUUGCUUGAAAUAAAUUAUGUCAUAGAAUCCUUAUAAUACAAAGGCAGGCACUAAUGGUUUAGAAAAAUAUGCUGUUCUUUUUCCAAGUGCAGUAUAUUUUCUUUUUUAUAUAUUUUUGAAAUCCUAACAAUAAGUAAUUUUUCCUACAAUAACUAUGGUUUGUAGUUUAAAGAAUAUACAAACAAAAGCCUGCUUCAUGUUCUAGGCUCCAAAAAUGGUGGUGUUUUUAUUUUAUUUUAAAAGGAGACACUGAAAAGUUAGAAGUUGAACAAUUUUCUGAAAAACUUCUGUCAAGAAAGUUUUCAGAAGGAAUAAGUAAUUGUAUCCAAAAUUUGUUUUCUUUUCAUAUUUUUAUUUGCUACUUAUGUCUGUUGUUCUGUUUACAGGAAAAUUGUUAAUAAGGUGUAGUGGUUACAAACUUUUAAGUUACGUGAAAAUCUAUUUUCUGCAAUCAACUUUCCUAGAGUCACAUUUGAAAAUAUUGCCAUAGAAAUCAUCAAUAGUAAUUUUUGUAUAAAGCUUGAUCUGGUAUUUCCUAGUCUUCUGAUUGCUUCAGUUUUUAAUUUUUGUAUCUAUUUGGCAGCAUGGGAUUGUUGAAUAAAGAGCUUGUUGAAGAUAGACUUGUGAAUCGUUCAUUGCAGAAAGGGUUGCUUUUGGAAUUCAAGAAGGAUUCUGAUAGAGUAUUGCUAGCAGUAGCUCAGAGACCUGAUGGCAAGAAGAACUGGAUGGUUUCUGAUCAGGUUCUAGUUGAAACAACAUAAUGCGGCAUGUUUAAUAGGUUGCUAGGUGUUGGUUCUUCUUGCAUUUUUUAUAAAUGCUAAAUAUUGCUGGAUUGUGUAGUCUAACUUUUUUGUUGGUUUUGUUGGGCUGAAGAAUGGUGUCACUUCUUCCAUCAAACUGCAGCAAGUGACAUAUAUUGUUCCUGGUAUUGAUAAUUUUGACCAAGCAGAUAUCACAGAUUUUGCACUAAAGGCUCAGGAUAACAUGGUCAGUUCCUGUUCCACAAUGGCUAUGGUAACAGAUAAGCCAAAUUUAUAACUUUUUACAUUUGUCAAUUACUAAAUUCUUGAUGAUAUGCAACAGGACCCAUCUCUACUAGAAUAUGCUUGGGUUGAGCUCCUAGAAAAGAAUAAGUCUGUCACAGUUGAAGAGUUGGCUGAGGUAAUAUGCUUUAUUGACUAGAUGUCAAAGCAUGCUUUUCUGUCCAUACUUGAGUUGCUUGUUCUGCAGAUAAUUUAUGGCAGCACCGAGCCCCUUGAGAGCUAUUCCGCUCAUCUCUUGCUAUCAACAGAUGAAGUAUACUUUACUAUAUUGGAGACUAAAGGAGCUCGUUCCAUUUAUGGACCUCGACCAAGUAGGCAGGUAUAUGUAUUAGUUUCACAUUUACGGUAGUUUUUGAAGAUUAUGGAUUGUUCAUUGCUCAUAAGUUAUGGACCUCCUUUUUGGAGUAUUUUCCUAACGUUAUACACAUGUGCUCCAGGGAGAGUCUUGUGUUACUUUAGUUGUUUUAUUUUUACUCGUUGUAAAUUACUUGUGAUCUAGGAUCAGAGAGUAGUAGUAUAAAUCCAGUACUUACGAGCAGUAGGUAAUUACUGUGAUGAAUCAACUAUCUAAUAAAACACCAGUUCAUAAAAUAAUGAAAUAUAAUAUAGAACACUGUACUACAUUGAGAUAUACUUUCUUCCCCCGGGGACAUAAGUCUCCUUGUGAGGUACAAUACAACAAUCCACUUGUUGUCCCAAAGAUGAAAGUAUCUUACAGAGAGUAUUCCUUGUUCUUAGACUUCAAAUAACUUCACCCUCCCCAAUUAUAGAUAUGAAUUUCUCAAUUAUGCUGAAGAACUAGUAGCAUUGGAUCUGAUGCUGGACCUGAACCAAAGAUGUGCAUCAUAGGGUAUACUCGAGAAGGAAGAAAAUGAGUCUAGGAGAAAUAGAGAAUUAAUGUUGAGUUGGCUUUCAAUUAAUGCAUAUGUUGGGGUGGGGAGGGGGAAUUCUGUUAGAGGAGACUCUGUUAGUAUGAUGUUGCUAAUAGGUCAGUAGGGGAAGAGGAGGGGGUAUUGAUUUUGAUUCUAUUGAGUUAGUCAGGAGUGUCCCUCUUUGAAUUGGACAAUGGGCUCUGGUUGUCUUUUCGCUUUCUGUAAGAGUUUGUUAGCUCCUUUCUUUCAUUGAAUAAUAGGAUUAUACCCAAAUCUUUUCUGGGAUUUCUAUCAAAUGUCUACUGUUACGCCCAAAAGAAAUAUUAAUAGAGACUUGCAGAAAUAUAGAUUAUAUUUUCCCGAAUCAUACUUGAUACAAUACAAUAAGUGGUAUAAAUAAGAAAGAGGAAAUAAAUAAGUACACUAAUGUAGCACUUAAAAUUAGGAGAAUAUUUUCCUAUAAAUGCUAUAGUUAAAUAAAAAUAAAACAAAUUUUAAUUAAUAAUUACAAAUAAUUCUGAUAUGACCUAGACUCAAUCAGAAUCUAUGGUUCUAAUUGAUUUGGGCUGUGGUUAUGAUACAUAACUGCAAAAGUUAUUUUAUAUGCAUAGAUGUCAUCAUAGAGUUACUAAAAUAGAUUUGCCAUUACAAAACAAGUUAUUUUCUAUCACCUCCUCUAAAUAAUUAACUACCUCCUAACUUGGAUCUUAGUUCCUAUUGCAGCCAUAGAAGUGUGAUGAUAACUUCUUAUUGUAUGAACUGUUCUAAGAAAGUGGACUUUAAACCUAAUUCAAACUCACAAAACUGGUUUGUUUUACUAGUUGUUUUGUGAAAUGGAAAGAAAAGUCUAAUAUUUUUAUUGGAAUGACAGGUUGAGGAGCUAAUUAAGAGGAAGCAUGCAAAGGAGGCUGCUGAGAAAGAACUUCAAGAGUUUAUUGAAUUACUGGCCUCUGUGAAGUCCAUGUCUUUGCAAGAUAAACCUCCAAAAUCUUCAUGGACCAAUGAUGAGAAAAUUUGGAAAAGAAUUGAGUCACUUGUAGCAUAUGCUAUUGAUGCAUGUAAAAGUGAUGAACAAAGGAAAACAAUAAGAAGUUAACUUUUCCCUAAAAAAUUGUUUUGAUUUAAUAUAUCAUUGUAGAAAUCAGGGUUUGUUUGGACAAGUUUCUCUACAAGCACUUCUAGAGAAAAUAAGAAGAAAAAAAUGAAAUGAACUUUUGCAUAAGCUAAAAUUAGCUUAAGCACAAGUUAAAAAAAGAAAAUUUAGAGAUACUAGAAAACUUCUACAUAUUAUAGCUUCUCUAAAUUCCCUUCUAUACUUUAUGGAGAGUUUUAUUUAAAUUUUUCUUAUUUUUCUUUCCUGUAAGUGUUUGUAAAGAAGUUCAUCCAAACAGAUGCUUAGUGUUUUUCUUAUACGCAAACAAUAUGAAGAGAUAAGAAAACAAUGAAAUGGAGAACUUUGCAUGAGAUUCUUGAACUUAUUUUAAUUAGACUCUAUCGAAGAAUUGGAUCAAAUAGAACUCUACGAAGCUAUGCAUAUUCAAGUAGCAAUUACUAGUCUUGGCAUGAGAAAGGAUGAUCUUGGUGGAUCCUUUCUUGGUAGUUUAGUAUAAUAACACUGAAUAAUAAUGCAUCUCUAGAAUGUUGUUUAUUGUUAAUGAUUAAUUUAAUAAAUUCAUCUUCUCUGUUACUAGCAGAUACUAAAGGAAUUGGGUCUGGCAAAAACAACUUCCUCAGCUGUUAAACUUCUGAUAGAUAUUGGAUAUUUUCCUGUACAUAUCAAUCUUGAUCUGUUGAAGUCUGGUAUUCCCACUGAUCAUUCAGAAGAAAUCAUAUCUGCUGCUCAGACUCUUUUAUUGGACACAUUUGAUCCAGACAAGGUGGGUUUCGUUUUCUUGACAACAUUGCUAAAAUAUGAGAUCAAUCAUAUAUGUUUUAAUGGCAGCAUUCUUUAUAAUGGUAUUUUAAGUUGCAUGGAAUUAAGAUGAUGAAAUUAUUUAACGUUACUUGAAUUUGGAUAUGAUAAAAAAAAUCAAUGAGUGUCUUACACACUAUACUAGACUUCCUUUGAGCAAAAAAUCUAGGAGGUUGCUCUAUGUAAAUUUUUUCCUCAAGAUCACCACAAGGAAAACAUUUUUAAUAUCAAGUUGGUAAAGUGACCAAUGACGAAUAGUAGCUAUUGCAAGGAAAAAUAUAAUUGUGUUGAUCUUGGCCAUGGGAAAAAUAGUGUCAUAGUAGUCAAGUCCAUAAAUUUGUAUAUAUCCUUUGGCUACGAACCGAGUUUUAAGGCCCAACUUCACCAUUAGGCCCAACUUUAACGCAUAGGCCCGUCUACAUCCAAUCGUUUUCUUUCUAGAGGGAAGAGGAAUAAACUGCCACAUGCCAUUGCUUGUAAAAGCUUGCAUUUUAUCAAUCAUGGCUUGUUGCCAUCUAGGAUGAUUAAGUGCCUCAUGAAUAGUUGUAGGAAUAAUGAUGGUAGACAAAGAAAAAACAAAAGAAUACGAUGGAGAUAGGUGAUGAUAACUCAAUAUUAUUAAUAAGAUAUGAAUUACGCGAGUAGACCACAUACCUUCUUAAGAGAAAUUGGUUAAUCUGAGGUGGGGUAAUGUGAAAGAGUUGGUGGAGAAAGACACGUGGCAUGGAAGCUAUUGGAGAGGAUCUGAAUCUUGAGAAACUUUAGGAAGUGUAGGAGAAGCUUUUUGGGUCUUAUAUUGUGAUAUCAUUCCAAUAACAUGAUAGAGAUAUUAUAAGGACAUGUUAUGGAUUCAACAUGAGUUGGAAUAUGAUUAGGCACUUUUCUAGAAUUGGAUCAAUGUUCUUAACAUUCAAGAACUCACCAAAUCACAAGCAACCAAGCCAAACUCAUAUAAAAACCCAUUUUAUGACAAAGGAACCGAUUAAAACAAGUAAGAAAGCAAAUGAACCGAUUAAAACAACCUAGGAAUCAAAUGAACCGAUUAAAACAAGAUAGAAAGUAAAUGAACCGAUUAAAAGCAAACUAGAACACAAAUGAACCGAUUAAAAUGACUAGAAUUGACAUGUUUUAGAGUUUGUUUGGGAAUGGAAAUGGAUGAAUAAGAUGGAAGGAAGAAGGAAACUUAUGUGGUUGGAGUCCUUGGAGAGGAGCAUGCCUCUUGAAGGAUGCAAAGCUUCAAGAUGAGUGUAGAUGCCGCCACUUGAGGUUCCAAGAGUGCACUCAAGAUAAGACUAGAAUAAGAGAAGACACAAGUCUCUCAAUCACUCACCAAUUUGGGAGAAUUUCUGUACUCAAAAUAUCAAAUCUGUAUUAGAAAGACUCAAGCCCUCCUUUUAUAGGAGAAGGACCGGUCAUGAGUGUACAAGAAGCUUACAAAGGAAGCUAUCCAAGGUUACCUUGCAACUCUUCCACUUCUAGCACCUAAAGUGGAGAAAGAAGGGAUACCUUCUAGAUUUUUCUAAAGCUAAUAUCUAAAGAUGCUUUACACAAGAGGUAUCUUUAGGUUUCCCUCUUAGCACCUACCUAAACACUAUCUUAAGCAUUUUUAAAUUUUAUACAAAAGAAACUACAAAAAGAGAAAACAUUUGAACACUACUUCCUAAUUCUUUAAAUUUGCUCCUUGUAAUCCUUCGAGGUAAAAAGGAUGAUGAGCUAAUAUUCCUCUGAGCAUCUUCAACUUCGACCUCUUUCUCUUCUUCUUCUUGAUCUCCAUCAUAUUGGUACUAAGGAGAGGCGGUGGGGCAAUGUCAGAUUUGGGUUGGAGUCAGAAGAAGCCAAAAUCACCAGAGGACCAAGGGUUGGAAUAGAUAAAACACGUUGAAUGGAAACACGAGUUCCCAUAGAGGAUGGGGGAAAGGUGUAUCCUAAAAAAAGUGACAUCAAUUGACAUAUUAUAUUUUUUGGUAGUUGGAGAAUAGCGAUUGUAUCCUUUUUGAAGGCAGGAAUAUUCUAGAGAAGCACAUUUAAUAGCCUUUGCAGAGAGUUUAUCUAAACCUAAACAAACAUUAUGAACCGAACAAAUAUAACUACACAUUCUAGGAGUGAUAGGAAAUAUCAGACCAUUGCAAAAUAUAAAAAGGGAUUUGAUUUUCAAGAGAGGAAGAAGUCAUUCUAUAUAUUAAAAAAAUAACAAGCAGUGAGGAUUGCUUCUUCGCAAUGAUGUAUAAGAACAUUUGUAUCAACAUUAGAGACUAUGCACUUUCAAUGAGAUGUCUAUUCUUAUUGUCUAGAAUGCCAUUUUGUUGUGAUGUGGGGAGACAAGUGAACUGAUGUAAAAUACCAUGAGUAUAAAAAGAAAGCUCAACAAAAAAAUAUUCUUUAGCAUUGUCACUUUGGAAGAUUUUAAUUAGUUUUUCAAAUUGUGUUUUAAUCUCAUUAAAGAAGGGGAUGGAUAUGGAAGAAUUCAUCAAUGAAGGCUACAUAAUAUCUGAUAGUGCCUUCAUCCACAUGCUUGUUUUCUUGGAGUUUUUUGAGGAAGUUGACGGAAGCUUGGUGUAGGAAUUGGAACAAGGAUGACUCCAAUGGAGAUAUGGAUUCCUUGAAGGUGCAUGAAGAGUAGGGAGAGUGAUUGGUUGGGCCAUUUCACUUGAAGAGAUGAAGAAGAAGACCAAAGGUGUCUAUCCUAGAGAGGCUUAGACAAGAGAAUGUAAGAGCUAGCAACUUGGCAGCAUAACACUCAAAAUUGAUCUUAUUAUUUCAUGGGCCAAGCACCCCUUUAAAUAGUGUAGAGGUCCAACCAAAGCUUACAAGAAAAAGAGGGAAAAUUCAAAUGCAAUGGAUUUGAAAAUGGCGCCCAAAUGAAGUCACAUUGCAAGCAUGACCUAGGUGUGCUUCAUGGGACUAAUUUAGGUCUAAACGAUCAGCCUAGGUUAAUUAGGAGUCUUAAUGAAACCCUAAUUUAACAUAGGUUGGUUUUAGAUGCCUAAUUUCAACCCUAAUUCAAUUAAGAAAACUAAAAUUAAUUUUUCUUACACUUUUAGCAAGAAAAUUAAAUUCUAGUCUAGAGAAAUUACACUAGGUUAUGACAUUUUUAAACAUAUACAGAAAGGGUGUCUUUGCCAUAAGUAGCAAAGUCCCAAUCUUCUUGAAUCUUCCUUGCCAUUGACCUAGUGGUUGGUCUUGAGCUGGGCCUUCUACCAUCAAUAUCUAAAACCAAAAGAUGUGACAUAACUAGGUUUCAAAGUAUUUGAAUGAAUGGUAGAGGAAACUAAGUUACAUAUUUUUUCAGUUUGUUUUUAAAAAGAUGACCUAACAUGUAUUACUAGUUGACAUGAUUCACAUUCUAACACUUGUAGUUUGCUUAAGGCUAGGAGCCAUUGUUUUUUUUUUUGAUCAGCAACGAAUUAAUAUAAUUUAAAAGAAACACUUUAGGGGUGUUCCAACCCUUAUACAUAAAACCUCCUAAUUAAGCAUUCAACAUAUUAGAUCAAAGUUAAGCGGCACACCACUUAACUCAAAAACUUAAAACUAGUUAAAAAACUCAGUCCCAAAACCUGAGACUGCAUAACACCAGCAUAACACAAACCAGAAUCCUGGUUAUGAAGGAAACCUACUAGGGGAAACAUGCUAACAGCUAGGUGUGACCAGCACAUCAUAACCAAGUAGGGCAAAAAACUAAAGGGUCUCCAGACCUUGCUGCAUUUGCUUCCUGAACCACUACAUACCACCAUGCAUCUUCCAAGCAUAUCAGUAGCUUGACCAUAGAACGCAGCAUAUGUCUCAAACCAAAACAUAACACCAAGUGCAUUGUUUAUAUAGCAUAACCAGCAUAUCAACAAUGCCGAUACCUCCAAAGUUCAUACAAGAGCAAUUGCGAAAUCACAAGCCAUGAUGGCCUGGACCGGUAUAAUAACCACCAGCUCAGCCAAACUGAGGGGGACCUGCCUGACAACCUGUACCUUCACCCCUCCUUACAAAACCAGAACCGGGCUUUGAUAACACAAACCUCAAACAUCCUCAACAGCACCACCUUGACAACGAACAAACUCCAUACUCCAUGCCUGUAGUCGAGCAAUCUACCACCGAACCAGGGAUUGUCUCUUGACAGCAGAGUGAUUCACCUAUAACUCUUAUCUAUAACUCUUAACACAUAGCUCAGGAUUUAAGAUCCAAUCUGAGAAAGAGAAGUUAAAAUUGUGUACUCUGUUUUUCAACCAAAGCCAAGAGUUGAGUUGUGCCUGGUGAAAGAUCUCUUCCGCAUCAGGCUUCCCCUGCUUGAAAAUGACUAGGUUUCUUUGUUCCCAUAUUCCUCUCACAGCUGUCACCCACAACCCUUUCCACACAAGGUUUUGCUGUGUUCAGGUGUACCAGGUGGAAAUUUUCAAAGUGGACCUUUAAGUCCUUAUGUUGGACAAACAAAAUCCCCAUCCACCUUAGACACAAAGACCACACCUGUUGUGCUACUAUGCAUUCCAAGAAAAGGUGGUAAGAGGUUUCUACCGAGCCUUGGCAUAACGCGCAUCCCGUGGUCUCAACUAACACUCCUCUUCUACUCAAACUACUACGAGUUGGCAUUUUGUCCAACAAGACCCUCCAUGCAGUGGUCAGAGCAUUGGGGAGUGCUUUGGCCUGCCACAAUUGUUUGAAGAAGCCCUCCGGCCAAGUUGGCGCAUGGUUUUCCAAGCACUUGUACGCAGACUUAACCGUAAACUCACCAGAAGGAUCCCCACCCCAUUCAAGGACAUCUUGUUCCUCCCUAUUAAGAGAACUCAUGGAUAUACUCCUAAGAAGUUCAAGUUCUUGAGUAGUUUCCCAUUCAAACCUUUCCCUCCUCCACCUUAAUCUCCAGCACCACACUGAUUCUUCCCAACUUCCUACCUCACCCACCGUCAAGCCCUGAUCCAGGGAUAGCGAGAAUAGUCUAGGAUACUGGGAUAAGAGAUUAUUCCUUCCAACCCACGUGUCCUCCCAAAAUCUUGCUUUAUUUCCAGAUCCAACCUUCCAACACAUAGCUUUUUGGACCCACCCUGCUUCAUCAUCUUCCCCACUAACCUUUGACAGAUCUCUCCACCACCAAGACUGGAAUUUUUGGUGGAUCUGCCUUUGCCCAGAUCCCACGCCAUAUUUAGAAACUAGGAUAUCCUUCCAUUUUCCUUCUUCAUUACUUGCUAACCUCCAUUUCCAUUUUGCCAGCAGAGCGUAGUUAAAUUUUCUUAUGUCUUUGAUCCCCAGACCACCUUCUUCCAUUGGCUUACAAACAUUUUCCCAACUAAUCCAACAGAUGGGUUUUUUAUCUCUAGCCCACCCCCAAAGGAAC
rnacentral:lncRNA from 1 species